CAGUUUUUAGAUCGAUCCGUUUUGUUUCAACUGAUCUGUUCUUUGUUUCGCAAUAUCCAUUGAUUGAUCUGUGAUCCGUGGUCGUUUGAGUGUGUGAUCUAAUCAUUUUGUGUCGAUCUAAUUGUUAAGAGUUUGAGAUUGAUAGAUCUAGGUUUCGCGUUUUUAGAUCCGAUUGUUAUCGAUUCAUAUUCUAGAUUUGAUCUUUUGUUUGAAUCUAAUUGAUCGUGUGAUCUGUUUUAAAUCACCUAUAACAACUAGAUCUACUUGUGUGUCGUCGAAAUCUGAUUAACAAACCUACCUUGAUCGCGUUUCUAUUGUGAUUUUCAAGUUGUCGAUUUGAAUCCUUCUUUGCUUGAUAAUCAAGUUUUCUUUUACCGCCAGUUAUUUUCAGUUUAAAAUCUCUUGAUCAUCUACUGAUUACGAUCAGUUUAUUGGAACUAUUUACUGGUUGAGUAUUGUUAUUGAUUCUAGGUACCAAUGGGGAAAGAAUCAGAAGAAGAAGCCGAGCUAGUAAGGAAGAACAAGAUGCUGAGAGAUCAAAUGACCGAACAAAUGAAUCAGACCAUGAUCUCUACUAUGGCUGAUAUGCUCAAGGCUAGCAUGAAGGAAUUACGUGAGGAGAUGAGACAAGAGUUGAGGCAAGCUACUGGCCAGGGACAUAGCAAUGAGUCUAGAAGAAACCGGCCUACUCCAGUACGGCAAGAGCAUGCGGGUUCACAAGAGACCGACAACUACUACUCGCGCAAUAGAACUGAGCACAACCCAACUGAGCGCAGUAGUUCAUCUUCUGAACUGAGCAGAGGAAGAUCAAGGCGUGAACAUGAUGGAAGGGGGUCACGCAAAGACAAGCUUUCAGGACUUAAGCUUAAGAUUCCACCCUUCCAUGGCAAGGUGGAUCCAGAUGCCUACUUGGAGUGGGAAAAGAAGAUCGAGCUUGUCUUCAAUUGUCAACACUACUCCAAUGCCCAAAGGAUCAAGAUUGCAGCAACUGAAUUCUAUGAUUAUGCGUUGAGUUGGUGGGAUCAACUUGUAACUACUAGACGGCUUAACCAAGAGAAUCCGGUUGAUUCAUGGCACGAGAUGAAGUCACUCAUGCGCAAACGGUUUGUUCCAAGUCACUAUCACCGCGACCUACAUCAAAAGCUGCGAAGACUUACCCAAGGAACACGAACUGUUGAAGAAUACUAUCAAGACAUGGAGUUGCUGAUGUUGAGAGCUAGUAUCUUGGAGGAUAGAGAAGCCACUAUGGCAAGGUUUCUUGGAGGGCUUAACCGUGAGAUACAAGACAAUGUGGAGAUGCAACACUAUGUGGAAAUAGAAGAGAUGUUGCACAAAGCUAUUCUAGUGGAGCAGCAGCUCAAGAGGAAGGGUAACUCACGCAGCUAUGGAUCAUCUAAGUUCCACCACUCUAAAGAAGAGAAAACAUCCUAUCUGAAGGAUAGCAAGCCUCAGCAGAAAGAAGAGACUAAGCCGAGCAGCAUAUACAGCAAAGACAAAGGCAAAGCUGAAAUUACUAGUUCAAGAACUAGAGAUGUUAAGUGCUUCAAAUGUCAAGGGCGUGGGCAUUAUGCUAAUGAGUGCACCAACAAAAAGGUUAUGAUUCUUCUUGAGAAUGGAGAGUAUGAAUCAGAGGAAGAGAAGUUUGGUUCUGAUCAUGAGGAGUCUGAAGAAGAAAGUGAAGUAGAACCCGUGAAAGGAAGAUUGUUGGUGACAAGAAGGCUCUUGAACGUGCAAGCCAAGAAUGGAGAGUUUGAGCAGCGAGAGAAUCUAUUCUACACAAGGUGUAUGGUUCAGGGAAAGGUGUGCAGUCUCAUUAUUGAUGGAGGAAGUUGUGUCAAUGUAGCCAGUGAGACUAUGGUGAAGAAAUUGGGUUUGAAAAUUCAGAAACACCCAAGACCCUACAGAUUGCAGUGGCUCAAUGAGGAGGGCGAGAUGAAAGUUUCUACUCAAGUACUGGUUCCUAUAGCCAUUGGUAGAUAUGAAGAUGAAGUCUUGUGUGAUGUGUUGCCAAUGGAAGCCAGUCAUAUACUCCUUGGAAGACCCUGGCAGUAUGAUAGACGUGUGAAUCAUGAUGGCUUCACCAACAAACAUUCUUUUGAAUUCAACGGAAAGAAGACUGUGCUGGUGCCUCUGUCUCCUAAAGAGGUUCAUGAAGAUCAAAUCCAGCUUCAGAAAAAGAAAGCGAAAGAGAUUGAUCUCAAACCUGAUCAUGACAAGCAUCACAGCCUCUAUGCCAAACAGGGAGAUAUCAAAAGAAUUCUCUACUCUCAAAAUUCUAUUAUCUUGCUUAUGUUUAAAGAGACUCUUCUAACUAUUACUGAUCACACACCGGAUCAUCCGAGUGAACUAGUUUCUCUUUUACAGGAGUAUGCAGAUGUGUUUCCAGAAGAUAGCCCCAUUGGAUUGCCUCCAGUGCGUGGGAUUGAGCACCAAAUAGACUUUGUACCUGGUUCUACACUGCCCAACCGUCCAGCAUACAGGACCAAUCCACUUGAAACCAAAGAACUGCAGAAACAAGUAGAGGAGCUGAUGGAGAAGGGUCAUAUCCGAGAAAGUUUGAGUCCUUGUGCAGUUCCAGUGCUCCUUGUGCCAAAGAAAGAUGGGAGCUGGCGCAUGUGUGUUGAUUGUAGAGCAAUCAACAACAUAACAGUGAAGUAUCGCCACCCUAUUCCUAGAUUAGAUGAUAUGCUUGAUGAAUUGCAUGGUUCUUGCAUCUUUUCUAAGAUAGACUUGAAAAGUGGAUAUCAUCAGAUUAGGAUGAAAGAAGGAGAUGAGUGGAAAACUGCAUUUAAAACUAAACAUGGCUUGUAUGAAUGGUUAGUUAUGCCAUUUGGAUUAACCAAUGCGCCUAGUACAUUCAUGAGAUUGAUGAAUCAUAUUCUUAGGUCUUUCAUAGGCAUCUUUGUUGUUGUGUACUUUGAUGAUAUCUUAGUUUACAGCAAAUGCUUAGAAGAUCAUAUAGAACAUCUUAGGGCUGUUUUGGAUGUUUUGAGAAAGGAAAAGCUAUAUGCCAAUCUAAAGAAGUGCACUUUUUGCACAGAUAACUUGGUCUUUCUAGGUUUUGUUGUAAGUGCAGAUGGUGUAAAAGUGGAUCAGGAAAAGAUCAAAGCAAUACAAGAGUGGCCGAGUCCAACUACAGUGGGAGAAGUAAGGAGUUUUCAUGGACUGGCAGGUUUCUAUAGGCGCUUUGUGAAGGAUUUCAGCACUCUAGCAGCUCCCCUAACUGAGAUAAUCAAGAAGGAUGUAGGAUUCAAGUGGGGAGAAGCUCAGGAAGCCGCAUUCCAACUCCUUAAAGAGAAGCUUACUCAAUCUCCUCUUCUCAUACUUCCUGAUUUUUCUAAAACAUUUGAAAUAGAAUGUGAUGCCUCAGGAAUUGGAAUUGGUGCUGUGUUGAUGCAGGAUAAAAGACCUAUUGCUUAUUUCAGCGAGAAACUCAGUGGAGCUACUCUCAACUAUGCCACUUAUGACAAAGAACUCUACGCCUUGGUGAGAGCUCUACAGACUUGGCAGCAUUAUCUCUGGCCAAAGGAGUUUGUCAUUCACACCGACCAUGAAUCUCUCAAGUAUCUCAAAGGACAAAGUAAGCUCAGCAAGAGACAUGCUAGAUGGGUAGAAUUCAUUGAAACCUUCCCGUAUGUGAUCAAAUACAAACAAGGUAAGGAGAAUAUAGUUGCUGAUGCACUAUCCCGAAGGUAUGUCCUCUUAACUACUCUUGAUGCUAAGUUGCUAGGCUUUGAGCAGAUUAAAGAAAUGUAUGAAUCUGAUCCUGACUUUCAAGAAGCUUAUAAAUCAUGUGCUAAGUAUGCUUCAGGACAUUAUUUUAGGCAUGAUGGAUUCUUAUUCUAUGACAAUCGUUUAUGUGUGCCUAAUUGCUCUUUAAGAGAUCUAUUUGUCAGGGAAUCCCAUGGAGGAAGCUUGAUGGGUCAUUUUGGUAUAGCAAAAACCCUUAAAGUUUUGCAGGAUCACUUCUAUUGGCCGCAUAUGAAAAGAGAUGUGGAGAGAAUCUGUGGAAGGUGCACAACUUGCAAGCUUGCAAAGUCUAAGGUUCAACCUCACGGUUUGUAUACUCCUUUGCCUAUUCCUACUCAUCCUUGGAAUGAUAUAUCUAUGGACUUUGUUAUGGGUUUGCCUAGAACUAGGACUGGAAAGGAUUCUAUCUUUGUGGUUGUUGAUAGAUUCUCUAAAAUGGCACAUUUCAUAGCUUGCAAUAAGACUGAUGAUGCAUUACAUGUAGCUAAUUUGUUCUUUAAAGAAGUGGUACGUUUGCAUGGGAUGCCUAGGACUAUAGUUUCAGAUAGAGAUACUAAAUUCCUUAGCUACUUUUGGAAAACAUUGUGGUCUAAACUAGGAACUAAGCUAUUGUUUUCUACUACUUGUCAUCCACAAACUGAUGGGCAAACUGAAGUAGUUAAUAGAACCUUAGGUACUCUCCUGCGUGCAUUCAUUAAAAAGAACUUGAAAUCAUGGGAAGAUUAUUUACCUCAUUGUGAAUUUGCAUACAAUCAUGCUAUGCAUUCUGCUUCUAAGUUUUCUCCGUUUGAAAUUGUUUAUGGGUUCAAUCCCAUCUCACCUUUGGAUCUAAUACCUUUACCUGAGUGUGAAAGGGUUAGUAUGGAUGGGAAAAAGAAAGCUGAGAUGGUUCAGCAAAUUCAUGAGCAAGCUAAGCGCAAUCUAGAAGAGAAAACUAAGCAAUACAUAGUUCAGCAGAUUCAUGAGCAAGCUAAGCGCAAUCUAGAAGAGAAAACUAAGCAAUACGCCAAACAAGCCAACAAGGGAAGGCGUGAGAUGAUCUUUGAAGUUGGAGAUCAAGUAUGGGUUCACUUGAGGAAAGAAAGGUUUCCAAAAGAGAGGAAGUCUAAGCUAAUGCCAAGGAUUGAUGGCCCUUUUGAAGUCACCAAGAGGAUCAAUGACAAUGCCUACAAACUUGAUCUGCAAGGUAAGUACGACAUAAGUGAUAGCUUCAAUGUUACUGACUUGAUCCCUUUUGUUGCAGAUGAGCCAGAUUUGAGGUCAAAUCCUUUUCAAGAGGGAGGGGAUGAUGUGAUCAUGGACCAACUAUCUAAUGGAGAUGAUGAGGAUCUGGAUAAGCCGACUGAUGGAGAUGUUCUAGCCUUGCCUAAAGGACCUAUGACUCGAUCAAGAUCAAGGAAGCUCACGCAAGUUAUUGGAGGAUUGGUUAAGAGGUCAUGGAAGCAAGAGGAAUGUCUUGGUAGAAGCUUGAUCAACCAAGACACACUUAUCACCAUUCAAGCAACUUCACCAUCAAGCUGAUCAUCAACUAAGCAAGCAAACUAUGUGUGCUCUUUUUCCCUAUCUUUGGUUUUGUCCCAAUGGGUUUUCCAAAGAUAGGUUUUUAACGAGGCCAUAGAUUUGUUUCUCAAAUCUCUUAGUUGAUGAUCUCGAUCCAACCUUAUCCCGGAUCAACCUUAUGUUAUAAUAAGUCUUUCAUUUCAUGUUUUAUUUUCAAACUUGUCAUUUGUUUCUAUUUUCAAGAGAGCGUGUGCCUUUACUCUCUUGAUAGUUUUCGAGAAGUUUGGAGUCUGUUCCAACUUCUCUUAUAUAUAAGUGUACUUUGAACCCCUUAUGAUCAUCAAUUAUCUUUUAUCAUAAACCUUUUCUUUGUUCUCUCUACUGCUUGUCCGCGAGUUGUUGAGUGAUCUUGUUGGUGUGUAAUAUCCAGCAACCCAAGAGUGUCUAUCUCGGUGUGUCAUAUCCGAUCUAGUCACUUAGGAGUAUCAAGGAGCCUUUCCGCAGCCUCUUGUGUCACCAAUCGAUCCACAACCUUGUAGAACUUGAGUCUUUGAUUCGUUCUAGCAAGGAUCUAUCCCAUACUAUCCAGAGAAGCAAUCUAGGGACGUAUUAUGUGGUAUCAGAGCAUCUCUGGUUAGGGAAGUACUCGUUUCUCUUUUGUUUCGAUUUAACCUGUUCAUCUUCUUGAACAGUUUUUAGAUCGAUCCGUUUUGUUUCAACUGAUCUGUUCUUUGUUUCGCAAUAUCCAUUGAUUGAUCUGUGAUCCGUGGUCGUUUGAGUGUGUGAUCUAAUCAUUUUGUGUCGAUCUAAUUGUUAAGAGUUUGAGAUUGAUAGAUCUAGGUUUCGCGUUUUUAGAUCCGAUUGUUAUCGAUUCAUAUUCUAGAUUUGAUCUUUUGUUUGAAUCUAAUUGAUCGUGUGAUCUGUUUUAAAUCACCUAUAACAACUAGAUCUACUUGUGUGUCGUCGAAAUCUGAUUAACAAACCUACCUUGAUCGCGUUUCUAUUGUGAUUUUCAAGUUGUCGAUUUGAAUCCUUCUUUGCUUGAUAAUCAAGUUUUCUUUUACCGCCAGUUAUUUUCAGUUUAAAAUCUCUUGAUCAUCUACUGAUUACGAUCAGUUUAUUGGAACUAUUUACUGGUUGAGUAUUGUUAUUGAUUCUAGGUACCAAUGGGGAAAGAAUCAGAAGAAGAAGCCGAGCUAGUAAGGAAGAACAAGAUGCUGAGAGAUCAAAUGACCGAACAAAUGAAUCAGACCAUGAUCUCUACUAUGGCUGAUAUGCUCAAGGCUAGCAUGAAGGAAUUACGUGAGGAGAUGAGACAAGAGUUGAGGCAAGCUACUGGCCAGGGACAUAGCAAUGAGUCUAGAAGAAACCGGCCUACUCCAGUACGGCAAGAGCAUGCGGGUUCACAAGAGACCGACAACUACUACUCGCGCAAUAGAACUGAGCACAACCCAACUGAGCGCAGUAGUUCAUCUUCUGAACUGAGCAGAGGAAGAUCAAGGCGUGAACAUGAUGGAAGGGGGUCACGCAAAGACAAGCUUUCAGGACUUAAGCUUAAGAUUCCACCCUUCCAUGGCAAGGUGGAUCCAGAUGCCUACUUGGAGUGGGAAAAGAAGAUCGAGCUUGUCUUCAAUUGUCAACACUACUCCAAUGCCCAAAGGAUCAAGAUUGCAGCAACUGAAUUCUAUGAUUAUGCGUUGAGUUGGUGGGAUCAACUUGUAACUACUAGACGGCUUAACCAAGAGAAUCCGGUUGAUUCAUGGCACGAGAUGAAGUCACUCAUGCGCAAACGGUUUGUUCCAAGUCACUAUCACCGCGACCUACAUCAAAAGCUGCGAAGACUUACCCAAGGAACACGAACUGUUGAAGAAUACUAUCAAGACAUGGAGUUGCUGAUGUUGAGAGCUAGUAUCUUGGAGGAUAGAGAAGCCACUAUGGCAAGGUUUCUUGGAGGGCUUAACCGUGAGAUACAAGACAAUGUGGAGAUGCAACACUAUGUGGAAAUAGAAGAGAUGUUGCACAAAGCUAUUCUAGUGGAGCAGCAGCUCAAGAGGAAGGGUAACUCACGCAGCUAUGGAUCAUCUAAGUUCCACCACUCUAAAGAAGAGAAAACAUCCUAUCUGAAGGAUAGCAAGCCUCAGCAGAAAGAAGAGACUAAGCCGAGCAGCAUAUACAGCAAAGACAAAGGCAAAGCUGAAAUUACUAGUUCAAGAACUAGAGAUGUUAAGUGCUUCAAAUGUCAAGGGCGUGGGCAUUAUGCUAAUGAGUGCACCAACAAAAAGGUUAUGAUUCUUCUUGAGAAUGGAGAGUAUGAAUCAGAGGAAGAGAAGUUUGGUUCUGAUCAUGAGGAGUCUGAAGAAGAAAGUGAAGUAGAACCCGUGAAAGGAAGAUUGUUGGUGACAAGAAGGCUCUUGAACGUGCAAGCCAAGAAUGGAGAGUUUGAGCAGCGAGAGAAUCUAUUCUACACAAGGUGUAUGGUUCAGGGAAAGGUGUGCAGUCUCAUUAUUGAUGGAGGAAGUUGUGUCAAUGUAGCCAGUGAGACUAUGGUGAAGAAAUUGGGUUUGAAAAUUCAGAAACACCCAAGACCCUACAGAUUGCAGUGGCUCAAUGAGGAGGGCGAGAUGAAAGUUUCUACUCAAGUACUGGUUCCUAUAGCCAUUGGUAGAUAUGAAGAUGAAGUCUUGUGUGAUGUGUUGCCAAUGGAAGCCAGUCAUAUACUCCUUGGAAGACCCUGGCAGUAUGAUAGACGUGUGAAUCAUGAUGGCUUCACCAACAAACAUUCUUUUGAAUUCAACGGAAAGAAGACUGUGCUGGUGCCUCUGUCUCCUAAAGAGGUUCAUGAAGAUCAAAUCCAGCUUCAGAAAAAGAAAGCGAAAGAGAUUGAUCUCAAACCUGAUCAUGACAAGCAUCACAGCCUCUAUGCCAAACAGGGAGAUAUCAAAAGAAUUCUCUACUCUCAAAAUUCUAUUAUCUUGCUUAUGUUUAAAGAGACUCUUCUAACUAUUACUGAUCACACACCGGAUCAUCCGAGUGAACUAGUUUCUCUUUUACAGGAGUAUGCAGAUGUGUUUCCAGAAGAUAGCCCCAUUGGAUUGCCUCCAGUGCGUGGGAUUGAGCACCAAAUAGACUUUGUACCUGGUUCUACACUGCCCAACCGUCCAGCAUACAGGACCAAUCCACUUGAAACCAAAGAACUGCAGAAACAAGUAGAGGAGCUGAUGGAGAAGGGUCAUAUCCGAGAAAGUUUGAGUCCUUGUGCAGUUCCAGUGCUCCUUGUGCCAAAGAAAGAUGGGAGCUGGCGCAUGUGUGUUGAUUGUAGAGCAAUCAACAACAUAACAGUGAAGUAUCGCCACCCUAUUCCUAGAUUAGAUGAUAUGCUUGAUGAAUUGCAUGGUUCUUGCAUCUUUUCUAAGAUAGACUUGAAAAGUGGAUAUCAUCAGAUUAGGAUGAAAGAAGGAGAUGAGUGGAAAACUGCAUUUAAAACUAAACAUGGCUUGUAUGAAUGGUUAGUUAUGCCAUUUGGAUUAACCAAUGCGCCUAGUACAUUCAUGAGAUUGAUGAAUCAUAUUCUUAGGUCUUUCAUAGGCAUCUUUGUUGUUGUGUACUUUGAUGAUAUCUUAGUUUACAGCAAAUGCUUAGAAGAUCAUAUAGAACAUCUUAGGGCUGUUUUGGAUGUUUUGAGAAAGGAAAAGCUAUAUGCCAAUCUAAAGAAGUGCACUUUUUGCACAGAUAACUUGGUCUUUCUAGGUUUUGUUGUAAGUGCAGAUGGUGUAAAAGUGGAUCAGGAAAAGAUCAAAGCAAUACAAGAGUGGCCGAGUCCAACUACAGUGGGAGAAGUAAGGAGUUUUCAUGGACUGGCAGGUUUCUAUAGGCGCUUUGUGAAGGAUUUCAGCACUCUAGCAGCUCCCCUAACUGAGAUAAUCAAGAAGGAUGUAGGAUUCAAGUGGGGAGAAGCUCAGGAAGCCGCAUUCCAACUCCUUAAAGAGAAGCUUACUCAAUCUCCUCUUCUCAUACUUCCUGAUUUUUCUAAAACAUUUGAAAUAGAAUGUGAUGCCUCAGGAAUUGGAAUUGGUGCUGUGUUGAUGCAGGAUAAAAGACCUAUUGCUUAUUUCAGCGAGAAACUCAGUGGAGCUACUCUCAACUAUGCCACUUAUGACAAAGAACUCUACGCCUUGGUGAGAGCUCUACAGACUUGGCAGCAUUAUCUCUGGCCAAAGGAGUUUGUCAUUCACACCGACCAUGAAUCUCUCAAGUAUCUCAAAGGACAAAGUAAGCUCAGCAAGAGACAUGCUAGAUGGGUAGAAUUCAUUGAAACCUUCCCGUAUGUGAUCAAAUACAAACAAGGUAAGGAGAAUAUAGUUGCUGAUGCACUAUCCCGAAGGUAUGUCCUCUUAACUACUCUUGAUGCUAAGUUGCUAGGCUUUGAGCAGAUUAAAGAAAUGUAUGAAUCUGAUCCUGACUUUCAAGAAGCUUAUAAAUCAUGUGCUAAGUAUGCUUCAGGACAUUAUUUUAGGCAUGAUGGAUUCUUAUUCUAUGACAAUCGUUUAUGUGUGCCUAAUUGCUCUUUAAGAGAUCUAUUUGUCAGGGAAUCCCAUGGAGGAAGCUUGAUGGGUCAUUUUGGUAUAGCAAAAACCCUUAAAGUUUUGCAGGAUCACUUCUAUUGGCCGCAUAUGAAAAGAGAUGUGGAGAGAAUCUGUGGAAGGUGCACAACUUGCAAGCUUGCAAAGUCUAAGGUUCAACCUCACGGUUUGUAUACUCCUUUGCCUAUUCCUACUCAUCCUUGGAAUGAUAUAUCUAUGGACUUUGUUAUGGGUUUGCCUAGAACUAGGACUGGAAAGGAUUCUAUCUUUGUGGUUGUUGAUAGAUUCUCUAAAAUGGCACAUUUCAUAGCUUGCAAUAAGACUGAUGAUGCAUUACAUGUAGCUAAUUUGUUCUUUAAAGAAGUGGUACGUUUGCAUGGGAUGCCUAGGACUAUAGUUUCAGAUAGAGAUACUAAAUUCCUUAGCUACUUUUGGAAAACAUUGUGGUCUAAACUAGGAACUAAGCUAUUGUUUUCUACUACUUGUCAUCCACAAACUGAUGGGCAAACUGAAGUAGUUAAUAGAACCUUAGGUACUCUCCUGCGUGCAUUCAUUAAAAAGAACUUGAAAUCAUGGGAAGAUUAUUUACCUCAUUGUGAAUUUGCAUACAAUCAUGCUAUGCAUUCUGCUUCUAAGUUUUCUCCGUUUGAAAUUGUUUAUGGGUUCAAUCCCAUCUCACCUUUGGAUCUAAUACCUUUACCUGAGUGUGAAAGGGUUAGUAUGGAUGGAAAAAAGAAAGCUGAGAUGGUUCAGCAAAUUCAUGAGCAAGCUAAGCGCAAUCUAGAAGAGAAAACUAAGCAAUACGCCAAACAAGCCAACAAGGGAAGGCGUGAGAUGAUCUUUGAAGUUAGAGAUCAAGUAUGGGUUCACUUGAGGAAAGAAAGGUUUCCAAAAGAGAGGAAGUCUAAGCUAAUGCCAAGGAUUGAUGGCCCUUUUGAAGUCACCAAGAGGAUCAAUGACAAUGCCUACAAACUUGAUCUGCAAGGUAAGUACGACAUAAGUGAUAGCUUCAAUGUUACUGACUUGAUCCCUUUUGUUGCAGAUGAGCCAGAUUUGAGGUCAAAUCCUUUUCAAGAGGGAGGGGAUGAUGUGAUCAUGGACCAACUAUCUAAUGGAGAUGAUGAGGAUCUGGAUAAGCCGACUGAUGGAGAUGUUCUAGUCUUGCCUAAAGGACCUAUGACUCGAUCAAGAUCAAGGAAGCUCACGCAAGUUAUUGGAGGAUUGGUUAAGAGGUCAUGGAAGCAAGAGGAAUGUCUUGGUAGAAGCUUGAUCAACCAAGACACACUUAUCACCAUUCAAGCUACUUCACCAUCAAGCUGAUCAUCAACUAAGCAAGCAAACUAUGUGUGCUCUUUUUCCCUAUCUUUGGUUUUGUCCCAAUGGGUUUUCCAAAGAUAGGUUUUUAACGAGGCCAUAGAUUUGCUUCUCAAAUCUCUUAGUUGAUGAUCUCGAACCAACCUUAUCCCGGAUCAACCUUAUGUUAUAUUAUGUCUUUCAUUUCAUGUUUUCAAACUUGUCUUUUGUUUCUAUUUUCAAGAGAGCGUGUGACUUUACUCUCUUGAUAGUUUUCGAGAAGCUUGGAGUCUGUUCCAACUUCUCUUAUAUAAGUGUACUUUGAACCCCUUAUCAAUAAUCAAUUAUCUUUUAUCAUAAACCUUUUCUUUGUUCUCUCUACUGCUUGUCCGCGAGUUGUUGAGUGUUCUUGUUGGUGUGUAGUAUCCAACAACCUAAGAGUGUCUAUCUCGGUGUGUCAUAUCCGAUCUAGUCACUUAGGAGUAUCAAGGAGCCUUUCCGCAGCCUCUUGUGUCACCAAUCGAUCCACAACCUUGUAGAGCUUGAGUCUUUGAUUCGUUCUAGCAAGGAUCUAUCCCAUACUAUCCAGAGAAGCAAUCUAGGGACGUAUUACGUACCCUUCACCCUAUCCGUACAGUCCGUACAUGAUGCUUCCAUCUUCCUCUCUAAUGCUUCUACACUUCCUAAGGUCUCCUCUUCAUACCAUAAGGCUCUCAUCUCAACACUCCCCCUCAAGCUUAGCUUUGUGAAAGUCUAAGCUUGGACAGCCAUGAGAUCUUCCUCAUUAAAAACCUCACUAAGGAAAACCCAUUGGGACAAAACCUUAAUGAGGGAAAAAGAGUAAAGAUCUCACAGCUAAGGGGAUCAGCUCCUUCUCUUCCCAAGAUCUAUGAGUCCCAAUCUGAUGUGAAUGGACUCCAUAGUCUUUUGUCUCGCAGCCUUGGUGAAUACAUCAGCCAACUGAUCUUCACUUCUAGUAUAGCAGGGCAAGAUCACUCCUAGCACAAUCAUCUGUCUCACUUUGUGGCAAUCAACCUCAAUGUGCUUGGUUCUCUCAUGGAACACCGAGUUGGAUGCAAUGUGAAUAGCAGCUUGAUUGUCACAAUGCAUUGUCAUUGGAGAGGCUUGAUCAAUCUCCAAGUGCUUCAAGAUGCCUUUUAUCCACACCAACUCGUUUGUAAGCUUCAGCAUGGCUCUAUACUCAGCUUCAGCACUUGAACAUGACACCACCUUCUGCUUCUUGCUCUUCCAAGUCACCAAGUUACCUCCAAUGAAUGUGCAAUAGCCGGUAGUUGAUCUCCUAUCAGCUCUAUCUCCUGCCCAAUCAGCAUCACAAUACCCCACCACUUCUGUGCUUCCAUUACAUCCCAUCCAAACCCCUUGAUCCGGCGAGCCAUUCAGAUACAUCAGCAGCCUCUCUACCAUGCGCCAAUGAUGUUCCUUUGGAAGCUGCAUGUGUUGACUCACCUGGUUCACAGCAAAACAUAUAUCAGGCCUUGUAAUGGUAAGGUAAAUCAAUUUGCCAACAAGUGUUCUAUAGAGUUUAGGAUCAUGAAAUGGCUUGCUGUCUUCAAUCUCCCCCUCUCUUGGUACUUUGUAGCCAUCCUCCAUUGGCAUCCUUGCUGUCUUGCCUCCAUAAGCACCUGCACCUUUCAAAAGAUCAAGUGUAUACUUCCUUUGGGACAUGAACAAUCCUUCCUUGGAUCUACAAAUCUCAAUUCCAAGGAAGUAUUUCAUUUCUCCCAAGUCUUUGAUUUCAAACAUAGUCUUUAGGAAUUCCUUGGUUGCUUUGAUACCUUCCUUAUCACUCCCAGUGAUAAUGAUAUCAUCCACAUACACAAGGAGAGCAACCAUACCUGAGGGGGUCGUGAGUGUAAAGAGAGUGUGAUCCAAUUCUGACUUCUUGAAGCCUCGGCCAUUCAGAGUUGUGCUCAACUUGUUAUACCAAGCUCUUGGUGAUUGCUUCAACCCAUAAAUGGCUUUCUUUAGUCUCAGCACAUUCCCUCUCUUCACUAGAUGUUCCAGACCUGGUGGAGGAUACAUAUAGACUUCAUCCUCAAGCUCUCCUUGUAGAAAAGCAUUCUUUACAUCCAUUUGCCACAAUCCCCAUCCUAGGUUCACAGCCAAGCUUAAAACAAUCCUAAUGGUGUGUAGCUUGGCUACUGGUGCAAAUGUCUCAAUGUAGUCCUCUCCAUAUGUCUGAGUGAACCCUCUUGCUACUAGUCUAGUCUUCUUCCUCUCAAUCGACCCAUCAGCCUUGUACUUGAUUGUAAAGAUCCAUCUACUAGACACAGCUUUCUUCCCUUUUGGUAGUUCACUCUCAUACCAUGUAUCAUUCUUUAUCAUAGCUCCUGCCUCAGCUCCUACUGAUUCCUUCCAUUCCUUAUCCUCCAUUGCCUCUUCAUAGCUUCUUGGAAUGUGAUUUUCAUCCAAGUUUACCAUGAAUGCGCAAUGUGCUUCUGGAUAUUGAGCAAAAGAACACACGGCCUGAGUAGGAUGCUUCACAGCUUGGGCAUUGUAGUACACUCUUGUGUUUACCCAACUGGAAGGAUCCUUUCUCAGCCUUGUACUUCUUCUCAAUACUGGCCCUUCUUGCGCCAUCUCUUGUUCUUCUUCUUGUGGCAGCACACUUGUUUCAGAUCUUUCUUCUCCUAGCUGACUUGCUUCAGCUCCUUCUUCCCUUAGCUGACUCUCUUCAGCUCCUUCUUCUUGAUCAUUUGAUUCCACAGCUUGAUCAUGAGAGCCAGAACUCUCUUCUCUACUUGUUUCUUCACGGUUUGGAGUUCUUGUUUCAUUCCCCCCCUCAUGCUCAAGGUUGGAAGUCUGAUGAUCCGGGACUGGGGUAGUGCUUCUCCCCCCUUGAUGUCCUUGAUUCAUGUUGAUUCCAAGGCCUUCUAGGAUAAUCCUCAAGGUUUCAGCUCUAUCUGAGGUAAGAUCCUUCAAGUCUUCUUGAAUCUGUUCCUCAUAAUAUCCUUUCUCUUCAACAAACUUCACUUCUCUAGAGAGGUAAGAUCCUUCAAGUCUUCUUGAAUCUUUUCCUCAUAAUAUCCUUUCUCUUCAACAAACUUCACUUCUCUAGAUACUAACACUCUCCUUGUGUUAGGAUCAUAGCACUUGUAUCCUUUCUGACUUGAUGAGUAUCCAAUGAACAUUGCCUUUGAACUCUUAGCUUCUAGCUUGUUUCUUAUCUCUCCAGGCACCAUUACAAAACACAAACACCCAAAGACCUUCAUAUGCUCGAGAGAAGGCUUGUACUGAUUCAGUACCUCAAAUGGUGAUUGUCCUUGAAGGAUCAGAGUUGGUGUCCUGUUGAUGAGAUAACAUGCCGUAGCAACAGCAUCACUCCAAAACUUCUUAGGCACAUUGGAUUGAAACAUCAUGGACCUGGCUACUUCCAUCAAAUGCCUGUUCUUCCUCUCAGCCACACCAUUCUGUUGUGGUGUAUAGGGACAGCUUGUCUGAUGAAGAAUUCCAUGCUGAGCUAGGUGUAGCUUGAAUGCUUGUCCCGUGUACUCUCCUCCAUUAUCUGACCUGAAAAUCUUUAUCUUGGCAUUGUAAUGGUUAGUCACAUAGGAUUGAAAAUUUUUAAAUGCAUCAAGUACCCUAUCUUUGGUUGGAAUUAAGGUUAACCAGGUGUAUUUGGAUUUUUCAUCAAUGAAAGUUACAUAAUACUUAUGAUUUUCUCUAGAUAGGCAAGGUGCAGUCCAAACAUCAGAAUGAAUAAGAUCAAAACACUUUUCAUAAACAGUAGUAGACUUGUUAAAGACAGUUCUACAAUGCUUGCCUAAAAUGCAAGCUUCACAAUCAUUAUUCUCAAAGGAAACACCUGGCAACAUCAGUUUUAAAGCCUUAUUAUGAGGGUGUCCUAAUCUAGCAUGCCACAAUGCAUUUUUACUUAAACCAGAACUAGAAACAGAAGUAAACGAGCAGCUAUAUCUAGAAACAGGAGUGAGAUCUUCAAGUAAAUAUAGCUCUCCUUUAGUCACUCCCUUUCCAAUCAUCUUGCUGCUUUUAAUAUCCUGAAACUUCACAUCAUUAGGACUGAAUAUAACAUUGCAUUGCAAAUCAGUAGCACAUUUCUUAACAGAUAACAAGUUUGAUGUAAAUUCAGGCAUAUAAAAGGCUUUAGUUUCCUUAUCAAAUAGUUUAAGACUUCCUAUUCCUCUAAUAGGAAUCUUAUCACCAUUAGCAAUCAGUACAUUUCCAUUCAUUGGCACAAUGUUUUUAAUUAAGCUAGUGUCACUUAUCAUAUGAUGAGAUGCACCUGAAUCAAUCACUAAUGGCUUAAUGUCAUGAGAACUAGCAAUAUGCGCAAGGAUACUAGAUGGUUUGAAUGCAUGAUCAUUUCUAGCAAAGUUUGCAGUCCUAGAUUGAUUUACCAUUUCUAUCAAGCUCUCAUGCAUCCUAUCAGUUCUAGUUAGAUUCUCAUAGUUCUCUACCACCCUAGCACCAAAAGAAUACCCAAAGAUGUUACCAUUCUCCUUGAACAUCUUAAUGAGAGCAUCAAGGUCGGAUCUCCUUAGAUACUCUUGAUCAUUGUUCCCACGGUUGCUUGAUGCUCCAGUGUAGGCUACAAGAGACUUUCCAUCACCUGCCUCACGCCCAUCUAUCUCCUUUCCUUUGCUUGUACCAGCUCCACUUGUUCCAUCCGAGACAUUAGCCCUUGCCUCACGGUCCUUCAUGAACUUAGCCGGCUUGAGGUGAGGAUGGAGUAUCCAGCAUUGGCUCUUCUUGUGGCCAUGCUUCUUGCAGUGAUCACAACUCCCAUUGAACCUCCUCUCCUCAAACUUCCCAUGCGCAGCCGCAGCCUUGUUUGCUUGUGGAGUUUCACUACCUUCCUCUUGAGUUGCUUGGCUUGCAAGGGACAGGUCUCCUUUCUUUGCAAACAACCCAAUGGAGCCUUGCUCCUUCUGAAUCCGCGCACACACAUCCUCAAGAUCAGGUAGAGUGUCUUCUCUAAGCAGGUGCUGGAUGAGACCGUUGUAGGCCGGGUUCAGCGUGAGGAGUAGCCCAAAGACCUUGUCUUGCUCUCUCCUCUUGUUCAGCUCAUCAGCAUCCGUUGUGCUUGGCCUAAGCAUCUCCAUCUCGGACCAGAGGCUCCUGAAUCUCCCUAGAUGCUUGGUGAACUCCAUGUCUUCUUGUACAAGGUUGUUGAUGGCUUGCUUCACUUCAAACACUCGGCUUAGGUUUGAUGUGUUGCCAUACACCUUCUUCAACGUAUCCCACAGCUCCUUAGCAGACUCACAGUAGCUGUAUGCAUCCAGAAUAGCCGGCUCAAGUGACGCAUGAAGCACAGACAUCACCAGCAUAUCCUCUUGAUGCCACUUCUCUUCCGCCUUGCUUGCGGCCUCACCAUCAUCCUCUCCUUGAGUGAUGAGUUUUGGAGCUUCUCCGGGGGUGAUGUGCUUCCACAACCCCUUGCUUCCCACCGUGGUUCUCACCAUCCGAGACCACACCAAGUAGUUGGUUCCCUUGAAGAUCACAGCUACCUUCAUGUUCAUGUUCAUCCCACUCUCCAUGUUGAAUGAUGAACUCUCUAAGCUUCAGAAACUUUAUCUUGAGUUGAAUGACUUGUAGAACCCUUCACAGCCUCGAUCUUCAACCCACACAGCUUCAGAUGAUACACCACAACCAGUCUUGAACUUGAAAAUUACCCAGAAACUCUCAAACACACAAGAACACAAGAGUUUCUUCAAAGCUUCAACCUUGAGGCUUCAAAGAAUCACACACGACCUCAGGCUAUCACUAACCUGGCUCUGAUACCAUAUCACUUUUAGUGAUGUUUAGAGUGAUCUGAGUAUUUAGGAAAGAUUAGAAGAGAUUUAGAGAAGAUUAAAGUAUGAAAUGAGAUUAAGAGUCUAAAGAACUAAAGAGAGACUAAGAGAGACUCAUAACUUGCUUGAUAUUAUUAAUGAGAGUGAUUACACUUAUAUAUGGAGCUUGAGACACUAGGGUUUCGAUUACACAAAAGGAGAAAGCAUGUGAAGUCAAGAUACAGCUAAGGGCGCAUUUGAAUCCUUCCAAUGAGAGUCUCCACAUGUGUAAGGCAUCUUUGAAUAUGCCUUUACCUUUCCAGCUCUUGCCAGACUGUCAGACGCGCUCUUCCUUAUCCUCUCAACGUUCGGAUCAAGCUCAGCCUUAAGGUAAAGUAACUCUAGCUAGUUUACUCUUUACCUGAGCUGAGUAACUCCUUAACCGCGCAUGAUGGUACGGCCUGAUCGUCCGUACCCUUCACCCUAUCCGUACAGUCCGUACAUGAUGCUUCCAUCUUCCUCUCUAAUGCUUCUACACUUCCUAAGGUCUCCUCUUCAUACCAUAAGGCUCUCAUCUCAACAGAUUCAUCCUGGUUUGAUUGGAAGGACGAAGAAGCUGUGCUAUUCCCAAACUGGAAAACUGGAGUAUGGGAGAGACUGAGAGACUAGGAACGUGUAUGAGAGAUUAGAGAGAGACUUAGUGACAAGAUUAAGAGACUUAGUAACCAGAGAAUAAGAACUAAGAACAAGUUUAUGAAGAAGAGAGACUCUCUCAGCUUAAGGGUUUACAAAGUGAUCAUAAGAGGCUUAUAUAUGCCUUUACACAAUUCAUAUCACAAACCUAGAUCCUAAGGCUAUAAUUAAAAGAUAGAAUGGAUGGUGAGGAUGAGAGAAGACUGGUCUUGAUGUUGCUGGAGCUAGCUGGCGAUUUGACUCAAGGUAAAGGGCUCAGAUUGCUUCAUUUGAAUUGGAUGGAUAAGAUGAGUCAAGGCUGUAAAGGUAAAGCACCUUUAACUUUCCAGCUCAUACCAACAGCUCACCUUAUCCAUUUGAAUCUUCCCUUCCCUCCAAGUAUCCCAAACGGUCACUUAAGAUCAGAUUGAACCGCCCACACAUUGCACAUCAAGAUUUGGGGUUAACCGGAUGACAUGGGCGUGAGGAGUGGACUGUACGGUCGAUGGUACGGACCUCCUGUCCGUACCACUCGCCCUAUCUUUGUACAUUGCCCUAUCUUCCUUCUUGGUUGCACUAGACAUCUUCAUGGCUCACCCUAGACNNNNNNNNNNNNNNNNNNNNNNNNNNNNNNNNNNNNNNNNNNNNNNNNNNNNNNNNNNNNNNNNNNNNNNNNNNNNNNNNNNNNNNNNNNNNNNNNNNNNNNNNNNNNNNNNNNNNNNNNNNNNNNNNNNNNNNNNNNNNNNNNNNNNNNNNNNNNNNNNNNNNNNNNNNNNNNNNNNNNNNNNNNNNNNNNNNNNNNNNNNNNNNNNNNNNNNNNNNNNNNNNNNNNNNNNNNNNNNNNNNNNNNNNNNNNNNNNNNNNNNNNNNNNNNNNNNNNNNNNNNNNNNNNNNNNNNNNNNNNNNNNNNNNNNNNNNNNNNNNNNNNNNNNNNNNNNNNNNNNNNNNNNNNNNNNNNNNNNNNNNNNNNNNNNNNNNNNNNNNNNNNNNNNNNNNNNNNNNNNNNNNNNNNNNNNNNNNNNNNNNNNNNNNNNNNNNNNNNNNNNNNNNNNNNNNNNNNNNNNNNNNNNNNNNNNNNNNNNNNNNNNNNNNNNNNNNNNNNNNNNNNNNNNNNNNNNNNNNNNNNNNNNNNNNNNNNNNNNNNNNNNNNNNNNNNNNNNNNNNNNNNNNNNNNNNNNNNNNNNNNNNNNNNNNNNNNNNNNNNNNNNNNNNNNNNNNNNNNNNNNNNNNNNNNNNNNNNNNNNNNNNNNNNNNNNNNNNNNNNNNNNNNNNNNNNNNNNNNNNNNNNNNNNNNNNNNNNNNNNNNNNNNNNNNNNNNNNNNNNNNNNNNNNNNNNNNNNNNNNNNNNNNNNNNNNNNNNNNNNNNNNNNNNNNNNNNNNNNNNNNNNNNNNNNNNNNNNNNNNNNNNNNNNNNNNNNNNNNNNNNNNNNNNNNNNNNNNNNNNNNNNNNNNNNNNNNNNNNNNNNNNNNNNNNNNNNNNNNNNNNNNNNNNNNNNNNNNNNNNNNNNNNNNNNNNNNNNNNNNNNNNNNNNNNNNNNNNNNNNNNNNNNNNNNNNNNNNNNNNNNNNNNNNNNNNNNNNNNNNNNNNNNNNNNNNNNNNNNNNNNNNNNNNNNNNNNNNNNNNNNNNNNNNNNNNNNNNNNNNNNNNNNNNNNNNNNNNNNNNNNNNNNNNNNNNNNNNNNNNNNNNNNNNNNNNNNNNNNNNNNNNNNNNNNNNNNNNNNNNNNNNNNNNNNNNNNNNNNNNNNNNNNNNNNNNNNNNNNNNNNNNNNNNNNNNNNNNNNNNNNNNNNNNNNNNNNNNNNNNNNNNNNNNNNNNNNNNNNNNNNNNNNNNNNNNNNNNNNNNNNNNNNNNNNNNNNNNNNNNNNNNNNNNNNNNNNNNNNNNNNNNNNNNNNNNNNNNNNNNNNNNNNNNNNNNNNNNNNNNNNNNNNNNNNNNNNNNNNNNNNNNNNNNNNNNNNNNNNNNNNNNNNNNNNNNNNNNNNNNNNNNNNNNNNNNNNNNNNNNNNNNNNNNNNNNNNNNNNNNNNNNNNNNNNNNNNNNNNNNNNNNNNNNNNNNNNNNNNNNNNNNNNNNNNNNNNNNNNNNNNNNNNNNNNNNNNNNNNNNNNNNNNNNNNNNNNNNNNNNNNNNNNNNNNNNNNNNNNNNNNNNNNNNNNNNNNNNNNNNNNNNNNNNNNNNNNNNNNNNNNNNNNNNNNNNNNNNNNNNNNNNNNNNNNNNNNNNNNNNNNNNNNNNNNNNNNNNNNNNNNNNNNNNNNNNNNNNNNNNNNNNNNNNNNNNNNNNNNNUAUCACUUUUGAGUGAUGAAAUCUAUAAUCUGAGUUUAGAUAAGAAUAGAGAAGAGAUUAGAGUAGAUUAAGGAGAUUAAGAGACUAAAUGAGAAUCAUUGUGCAAAGUAUAGAGAGAUUGAUUUGUUUAGAACUGUCUAAUCUUUAUUAGGAGAUGAGGUUACAUAUUUAUAGUCUAAGCAGCAAGGGUUUCGAAAACCUAAUUAGAGACUCUAAGCAUGUGUGGUCAAACGGAUAAGGCUGGCCGAGUUUGAAUCCAUCCAAUGAAGGCUCCCGCACGUUUGAUGCCUUUGGGAUCUUUGACUAAAGUAUCUUUUGCCUUUCCAGCUGUGCCAGUCUGUCAAGGCGCCUCUUAUCCCUUCCUCAACGGUCUGAUGGAUCAGAUAAGUUCCCAAGACUUUACCCGCGGCUUGCUUCAUCUGGAUGAGUUACUCGGGUAACUUAUAGUUACCAUCCUGUACGGCCUUGUACGGAAUGUACGGCCUUGUACGGUCCAUUCCUCCCAAGUCCAUCCUAACUCCUUCAUGUCUCAUCUCCUCUCACUUCUCUAGUCCCUUCAUGCUUCUCACUUAAUCAUCUCCAUAACUUAACACUCCCCCUCAAGCUUAGCUUUGUGAAAGCCUAAGCUUGGAUAGCCAUGAGAUCUUCCUCAUUAAAAACCUCACCAAAGAAAACCCAAUGGGACAAACCUUUGAUGAGGGAAAAAGAGUAAAGACCUCAUGACUUAGGGGAUCAGCUCCUUCUCUUCCCAAGAUCAAUGAGCCCCAAUCUAAUGUGAAUGGACUCCAUUGUCUUUUGCCUUGCAGCCUUGGUGAACACAUCUGCUAACUGAUCUUCACUUCUAGUGUAGCAUGGCAAGAUCACUCCUAGCACAAUCAUCUGCCUCACCUUGUGACAAUCAACCUCAAUGUGCUUGGUUCUCUCAUGAAACACUGAGUUGGAGGCAAUGUGGAUGGCAGCUUGGUUAUCACAAUGCAUUGUCAUUGGCGUGGCUUGAUCAAUCUCCAAGUGCUUCAAGAUCCCUUUGAUCCACACCAACUCGUUGGUAAGCUUCAGCAUAGCUCUAUACUCAGCUUCUGCACUUGAACAAGACACCACCUUCUGCUUCUUACUCUUCCAAGUAACCAAGUUGCCUCCAAUGAAUGUGCAAUAGCCUGUGGUUGAUCUCCUGUCUGCUCUAUCACCAGCCCAAUCCGCAUCACAGUAUCCAACCACUUCAGUGCUUCCAUUGCAACCCAUCCAUACUCCUUGAUCAGGUGAGCCGUUGAGAUACAUCAAGAUCCUCUCCACCAUGCGCCAGUGAUGCUCCUUAGGCACUUGCAUGUGUUGACUCACCUGAUUCACAGCAAAACAAAUGUCAGGCCUAGUUAUGGUAAGAUAAAUCAAUUUGCCAACUAGCUUUCUAUAGAGUUUAGGAUCCUGAUAAGGUUUGCUGUCUUCAAUCUCCCCCUCUCGUGGGACUUUGUAGCCAUCCUCCAUAGGCAUCCUUGCUGUCUUGCCUCCAUAAGCACCUGCACCUUUCAAAAGAUCAAGUGUAUAUUUCCUUUGAGACAUAAACAAACCUUCCUUGGAUCUACAUAUCUCAAUUCCAAGGAAGUAUUUCAUCUCUCCCAAGUCUUUAAUCUCAAACAUGGAUUUAAGGAACUCCUUGGUUGCUGUGAUACCUUCCUUAUCACUUCCUGUGAUAAUGAUAUCAUCAACAUACACAAGGAGAGCAAUCAUACCUGAGGGGGUAGUGAGAGUGAAGAGGGUGUGAUCUAGUUCAGACUUCUUGAAGCCUCGGCCAUUCAGAGUAGUACUCAGCUUGUUGUACCAAGCUCUUGGUGAUUGCUUCAGCCCAUAGAUAGCUUUCUUCAGUCUCAACACAUUUCCUCUCUUCACCAAGUGUUCCAAGCCUGGAGGUGGAUGCAUAUACACUUCAUCCUCCAGCUCUCCUUGUAGAAAAGCAUUCUUCACAUCCAUUUGCCAUAAGCCCCAUCCAAGGUUCACAGCUAAGCUCAAUACAAUCCGGAUUGUGUGUAGUUUGGCUACUGGUGCAAAGGUCUCAAUGUAAUCUUCUCCAUAAGUUUGAGUAAAGCCUCUUGCAACCAGUCUUGACUUCUUCCUCUCAAUCUUCCCAUCAGCCUUAUACUUGAUUGUGAAGAUCCAUCUACUAGUCACAGCCUUCUUCCCUUUUGGUAACUCACUCUCAUACCAUGUAUCAUUCUUGAUCAUAGCUCCUGCUUCAGCUCCAACUGAUUCCUUCCAUUCUUUAUCCAUCAUUGCCUCUUCAUAGCUUCUUGGUAUGUAGUUCUCAUCCAAGUUUACCAUAAAGGCACAAUGUUCUUCAGGAUAUUGAGCAAAGGAACACACAGCUUGAGAAGGAUGCUCCACAGCUUGGGCAUUGUAGUACACUCGCGUGUUUACCCAACUAGAAGGAUCCUUUCUCAGCCUUGUGCUUCUCCUCAAUACUGGUUGGUUCUGAACCUGCUCCUCUUGGACAUUUGGUUCUGGUGCUUCAGCCUGAGCUUCUACUUCUCCUUGGCUUUGAUCACCUUGAUUGUGAGAGCCUGAAACACUCUCUUCUUCUUCUUCACUCAAGCCGGCUCCAUCCUGACCAUCUUCUUGAGUUUCAGAUUCCCUUCCCCCCUCACGAUCAAGGUGAGGUGAUUGAUUAGCUUCAACAGGGGCCGGAGAACUCUCAUGUUGGUUCCUACUCCCCACAUUUGGAUCCUGGUUCAUCUUGAUACCUAGACCUUCCAAGAUCAGUCUUAAAGCUCCGGCCUUAUCUGAUGUUAAAUCCUUUAGCUCCUCUUGAUUCUUUUCUUCAUAGUAUCCUCUUGCUUCUAUGAACUUCACAUCUCUAGAGAUUAGGACUCUUCUAGUUGCUGGAUCAUAACACUUGUAUCCCUUUUGUGUUGUUGAGUAGCCAAUGAACAUGGCCUUAGUGCUCCUUGCAUCCAGCUUGUUUCUCAACUCUCCUGGUAUCAACACAAAGCAUAGACAUCCAAAUACUCUCAAGUAAUCCACUGAUGGCUUGUGCUUGUUUAGAACUUCAAAUGGUGCUUGAUCCUUCAACACCUUUGUGGGAAUCCUGUUGAUCAAAUAACAAGCAGUAGCCACAGCAUCACUCCAAAACCUCUUUGGAACAUUUGCUUGGAACAUCAGUGACCUAGCAACCUCCAUCAAGUGUCGGUUCUUUCUCUCAGCUACCCCAUUCUGUUGUGGAGUAUAAGGACAGCUUGUUUGAUGCAGGAUCCCAUGAUGCUCUAGAUGACUCUUGAACGCAUAGCUUGUGUACUCCCCUCCAUUAUCUGAUCUAAAAAUUUUAAUCUUGGCAUUAUAAUGGUUAGUCACAUAAGCUUGAAAGUUCUUAAAUGCAUCUAUUACUCUAUCUUUUGAUGGGAUUAAAGUUAACCAGGUGUAUUUGGAUUUUUCAUCAAUGAAUGUGACAAAGUAUUUAUGAUUGUCUCUAGAUAUGCAAGGUGCAGUCCACACAUCAGAAUGAAUAAGAUCAAAGCACUUAUCAUAAACACUAGUAGAGUUUGGAAAUACAGUUUUACAAUGCUUGCCUAAGAUGCAAGCUUCACAAUCCUUAUUCUCAAAUAAAACACCUGGUAACAUCAAGUUCAAAGCUCUACCAUGAGGAUGUCCUAAUCUAGCAUGCCACAAAGCAUUUUUAUUUAAACUAGAAGCAUUAAACGAGCAAUUGUAAUUGGAAACAGGAUCAAGUUCUUCAAGCAAGUACAACUCUCCUUUAGUGAUUCCUUUUCCAAUCAAGUGGCUGCUCUCAAUAUCCUGAAACUUUACAUCAUUAGGACUGAAUAUAACAUUGCAAUUCAAAUCAGUUGUGCAUUUCUUAACAGAUAGCAAGUUAGAUGUAAAUUCAGGCAUGUAGAAAGCUCUAGUGUUCUUAUCAAACAACUUCAAGUUUCCUAUUCCUCUAAUAGGGAUCUUGUCCCCAUUUGCAAUCAUGACAUGUCCACUAGUUGGUUCUAUAUCCUUAAUCAGAUUUGUAUCACUAAUCAUGUGAUGAGAUGCACCAGAAUCAACAAUUAAUGGCUUAGUUACAUUGCUAGCAUUAUGACACAGGUUCAAAGGUGAUCUAAAUGCAUUUAGUUCAUGAUUCAUCCUAGCAUUUCUAGCAAAGGUGUACUCAUAUCUAGCCUGUUCAUUGCUUUCAACUAUAUCCAUCCUAGCAAUAUCAGUAACAUAAGGAGAGGUUUCUAUAGUCUUAGCUAUCAUGGAUGCACCAAAGGAGUACCCAUGAGUGUUACCAUUCUCCUUGAGCAUUUUGAUGAGAGCAUCCAUCUCGGAUCUCCUGAUGAAGUCCUGAUCAUUGCCACGGAUGUUAGGAGCUCCUGAGUAUGUCACCAGUGCCUUGCCAUCACCCUCACGCCUCUCUCCUUCUGCUCCACGGCUAGAUGAUCCGGCUCCACUUGUUCCUUCAGAAGCAUGAGCUUUGGCCUCCCUCUCCUUCAUGAACUUCGCUGGCUUCAGGUGAGGAUGUAGUAUCCAGCACUGGCUCUUCUUGUGUCCAUGCUUCUUGCAGUGAUCACAAUUGCCAUUGAGCUUCCUAUCUUCAUACUUGCCGUGUGCUGCUCUGUUGGCUUGUGGUAUCUCCUCAUGAUCAGUUUGCGCAGCAUUGGCUAGGGACAAGUCUCCUUUACCACCAAACAAGCCAAUGGAGCCUUGCUCCUUUUGUAUCUGAGCACACGCAUCCUCCAAGUCAGGAAGCUUAUCAGCCCUCAACAUAUGCUGAAUCAACCCACUGUAGCUUGGAUUCAAUGUCAGCAACAACCCAAAGACCUUGUCUUGCUCUCUUCUUUCAUUCAGCAGCUCCGGAUCAGUUGUGCUCGGCCUCAGCAUCUCCAGCUCUGACCAGAGUGUCCGGAACCUCCCCAAAUGCUUAGUAAACUCCAUGUCCUCCUGAGUUAGAUCAUUCAAAGCUUUCUUCACUUCAAAGACCCGGCUGAGGUUAGAGGUGUUUCCAUACACCUUCUUCAACGUUUCCCACAGCUCCUUGGCUGUCUCACAGUAGCUGUAAGCAUCAAGAAUGGCUGGCUCCAAUGAGCUAUGAAGAGCAGACAUCACCAUCAUGUCCUCUUGUUGCCACUUCUCAGCUUCAGCUUCCGAGACACUCUCCGUGUCUCCUUCUUGAGUAAUGAGUUUUGGAGCCUCACCAGAUGUGAUGUGCUUCCAUAAACCCUUACUUCCCACAGCAGUCUUCACCAUCCUAGACCAUACUAGGUAGUUACUUCCCUUGAAAGUCACAGCAACCUUCAUCUUGGAACCACUCUCCAUCUUAAGCGGCUUCACUUCAAUAACUUGUAACAGACUUGAUCUUGAGACUCAGAACUACACCACCAGCUCAAACCCUUCCGUGCCUUGUCUUUACUCUUCAAGGAACCCUCAAACAGCUAGAUAAGACUCCCGGAAUGAAGAUGUAGCUCUCGGGAUGCAGCUUCUUCCAAGAACACUCACACCACUCUCACUUGAUCUCUCAAAGUUUCAAGAUUGAAUCUUCAAGAGAAAACACCAAGAACUCAGAUUGAAAUCAACCUGGCUCUGAUACCAUAUCACUUUUGAGUGAUGAAAUCUAUAAUCUGAGUUUAGAUAAGAAUAGAGAAGAGAUUAGAGUAGAUUAAGGAGAUUAAGAGACUAAAUGAGAAUCAUUGUGCAAAGUAUAGAGAGAUUGAUUUGUUUAGAACUGUCUAAUCUUUAUUAGGAGAUGAGGUUACAUAUUUAUAGUCUAAGCAGCAAGGGUUUCGAAAACCUAAUUAGAGACUCUAAGCAUGUGUGGUCAAACGGAUAAGGCUGGCCGAGUUUGAAUCCAUCCAAUGAAGGCUCCCGCACGUUUGAUGCCUUUGGGAUCUUUGACUAAAGUAUCUUUUGCCUUUCCAGCUGUGCCAGUCUGUCAAGGCGCCUCUUAUCCCUUCCUCAACGGUCUGAUGGAUCAGAUAAGUUCCCAAGACUUUACCCGCGGCUUGCUUCAUCUGGAUGAGUUACUCGGGUAACUUAUAGUUACCAUCCUGUACGGCCUUGUACGGAAUGUACGGCCUUGUACGGUCCAUUCCUCCCAAGUCCAUCCUAACUCCUUCAUGUCUCAUCUCCUCUCACUUCUCUAGUCCCUUCAUGCUUCUCACUUAAUCAUCUCCAUAACUUAACACUCCCCCUCAAGCUUAGCUUUGUGAAAGCCUAAGCUUGGAUAGCCAUGAGAUCUUCCUCAUUAAAAACCUCACCAAAGAAAACCCAAUGGGACAAACCUUUGAUGAGGGAAAAAGAGUAAAGACCUCAUGACUUAGGGGAUCAGCUCCUUCUCUUCCCAAGAUCAAUGAGCCCCAAUCUAAUGUGAAUGGACUCCAUUGUCUUUUGCCUUGCAGCCUUGGUGAACACAUCUGCUAACUGAUCUUCACUUCUAGUGUAGCAUGGCAAGAUCACUCCUAGCACAAUCAUCUGCCUCACCUUGUGACAAUCAACCUCAAUGUGCUUGGUUCUCUCAUGAAACACUGAGUUGGAGGCAAUGUGGAUGGCAGCUUGGUUAUCACAAUGCAUUGUCAUUGGCGUGGCUUGAUCAAUCUCCAAGUGCUUCAAGAUCCCUUUGAUCCACACCAACUCGUUGGUAAGCUUCAGCAUAGCUCUAUACUCAGCUUCUGCACUUGAACAAGACACCACCUUCUGCUUCUUACUCUUCCAAGUAACCAAGUUGCCUCCAAUGAAUGUGCAAUAGCCUGUGGUUGAUCUCCUGUCUGCUCUAUCACCAGCCCAAUCCGCAUCACAGUAUCCAACCACUUCAGUGCUUCCAUUGCAACCCAUCCAUACUCCUUGAUCAGGUGAGCCGUUGAGAUACAUCAAGAUCCUCUCCACCAUGCGCCAGUGAUGCUCCUUAGGCACUUGCAUGUGUUGACUCACCUGAUUCACAGCAAAACAAAUGUCAGGCCUAGUUAUGGUAAGAUAAAUCAAUUUGCCAACUAGCUUUCUAUAGAGUUUAGGAUCCUGAUAAGGUUUGCUGUCUUCAAUCUCCCCCUCUCGUGGGACUUUGUAGCCAUCCUCCAUAGGCAUCCUUGCUGUCUUGCCUCCAUAAGCACCUGCACCUUUCAAAAGAUCAAGUGUAUAUUUCCUUUGAGACAUAAACAAACCUUCCUUGGAUCUACAUAUCUCAAUUCCAAGGAAGUAUUUCAUCUCUCCCAAGUCUUUAAUCUCAAACAUGGAUUUAAGGAACUCCUUGGUUGCUGUGAUACCUUCCUUAUCACUUCCUGUGAUAAUGAUAUCAUCAACAUACACAAGGAGAGCAAUCAUACCUGAGGGGGUAGUGAGAGUGAAGAGGGUGUGAUCUAGUUCAGACUUCUUGAAGCCUCGGCCAUUCAGAGUAGUACUCAGCUUGUUGUACCAAGCUCUUGGUGAUUGCUUCAGCCCAUAGAUAGCUUUCUUCAGUCUCAACACAUUUCCUCUCUUCACCAAGUGUUCCAAGCCUGGAGGUGGAUGCAUAUACACUUCAUCCUCCAGCUCUCCUUGUAGAAAAGCAUUCUUCACAUCCAUUUGCCAUAAGCCCCAUCCAAGGUUCACAGCUAAGCUCAAUACAAUCCGGAUUGUGUGUAGUUUGGCUACUGGUGCAAAGGUCUCAAUGUAAUCUUCUCCAUAAGUUUGAGUAAAGCCUCUUGCAACCAGUCUUGACUUCUUCCUCUCAAUCUUCCCAUCAGCCUUAUACUUGAUUGUGAAGAUCCAUCUACUAGUCACAGCCUUCUUCCCUUUUGGUAACUCACUCUCAUACCAUGUAUCAUUCUUGAUCAUAGCUCCUGCUUCAGCUCCAACUGAUUCCUUCCAUUCUUUAUCCAUCAUUGCCUCUUCAUAGCUUCUUGGUAUGUAGUUCUCAUCCAAGUUUACCAUAAAGGCACAAUGUUCUUCAGGAUAUUGAGCAAAGGAACACACAGCUUGAGAAGGAUGCUCCACAGCUUGGGCAUUGUAGUACACUCGCGUGUUUACCCAACUAGAAGGAUCCUUUCUCAGCCUUGUGCUUCUCCUCAAUACUGGUUGGUUCUGAACCUGCUCCUCUUGGACAUUUGGUUCUGGUGCUUCAGCCUGAGCUUCUACUUCUCCUUGGCUUUGAUCACCUUGAUUGUGAGAGCCUGAAACACUCUCUUCUUCUUCUUCACUCAAGCCGGCUCCAUCCUGACCAUCUUCUUGAGUUUCAGAUUCCCUUCCCCCCUCACGAUCAAGGUGAGGUGAUUGAUUAGCUUCAACAGGGGCCGGAGAACUCUCAUGUUGGUUCCUACUCCCCACAUUUGGAUCCUGGUUCAUCUUGAUACCUAGACCUUCCAAGAUCAGUCUUAAAGCUCCGGCCUUAUCUGAUGUUAAAUCCUUUAGCUCCUCUUGAUUCUUUUCUUCAUAGUAUCCUCUUGCUUCUAUGAACUUCACAUCUCUAGAGAUUAGGACUCUUCUAGUUGCUGGAUCAUAACACUUGUAUCCCUUUUGUGUUGUUGAGUAGCCAAUGAACAUGGCCUUAGUGCUCCUUGCAUCCAGCUUGUUUCUCAACUCUCCUGGUAUCAACACAAAGCAUAGACAUCCAAAUACUCUCAAGUAAUCCACUGAUGGCUUGUGCUUGUUUAGAACUUCAAAUGGUGCUUGAUCCUUCAACACCUUUGUGGGAAUCCUGUUGAUCAAAUAACAAGCAGUAGCCACAGCAUCACUCCAAAACCUCUUUGGAACAUUUGCUUGGAACAUCAGUGACCUAGCAACCUCCAUCAAGUGUCGGUUCUUUCUCUCAGCUACCCCAUUCUGUUGUGGAGUAUAAGGACAGCUUGUUUGAUGCAGGAUCCCAUGAUGCUCUAGAUGACUCUUGAACGCAUAGCUUGUGUACUCCCCUCCAUUAUCUGAUCUAAAAAUUUUAAUCUUGGCAUUAUAAUGGUUAGUCACAUAAGCUUGAAAGUUCUUAAAUGCAUCUAUUACUCUAUCUUUUGAUGGGAUUAAAGUUAACCAGGUGUAUUUGGAUUUUUCAUCAAUGAAUGUGACAAAGUAUUUAUGAUUGUCUCUAGAUAUGCAAGGUGCAGUCCACACAUCAGAAUGAAUAAGAUCAAAGCACUUAUCAUAAACACUAGUAGAGUUUGGAAAUACAGUUUUACAAUGCUUGCCUAAGAUGCAAGCUUCACAAUCCUUAUUCUCAAAUAAAACACCUGGUAACAUCAAGUUCAAAGCUCUACCAUGAGGAUGUCCUAAUCUAGCAUGCCACAAAGCAUUUUUAUUUAAACUAGAAGCAUUAAACGAGCAAUUGUAAUUGGAAACAGGAUCAAGUUCUUCAAGCAAGUACAACUCUCCUUUAGUGAUUCCUUUUCCAAUCAAGUGGCUGCUCUCAAUAUCCUGAAACUUUACAUCAUUAGGACUGAAUAUAACAUUGCAAUUCAAAUCAGUUGUGCAUUUCUUAACAGAUAGCAAGUUAGAUGUAAAUUCAGGCAUGUAGAAAGCUCUAGUGUUCUUAUCAAACAACUUCAAGUUUCCUAUUCCUCUAAUAGGGAUCUUGUCCCCAUUUGCAAUCAUGACAUGUCCACUAGUUGGUUCUAUAUCCUUAAUCAGAUUUGUAUCACUAAUCAUGUGAUGAGAUGCACCAGAAUCAACAAUUAAUGGCUUAGUUACAUUGCUAGCAUUAUGACACAGGUUCAAAGGUGAUCUAAAUGCAUUUAGUUCAUGAUUCAUCCUAGCAUUUCUAGCAAAGGUGUACUCAUAUCUAGCCUGUUCAUUGCUUUCAACUAUAUCCAUCCUAGCAAUAUCAGUAACAUAAGGAGAGGUUUCUAUAGUCUUAGCUAUCAUGGAUGCACCAAAGGAGUACCCAUGAGUGUUACCAUUCUCCUUGAGCAUUUUGAUGAGAGCAUCCAUCUCGGAUCUCCUGAUGAAGUCCUGAUCAUUGCCACGGAUGUUAGGAGCUCCUGAGUAUGUCACCAGUGCCUUGCCAUCACCCUCACGCCUCUCUCCUUCUGCUCCACGGCUAGAUGAUCCGGCUCCACUUGUUCCUUCAGAAGCAUGAGCUUUGGCCUCCCUCUCCUUCAUGAACUUCGCUGGCUUCAGGUGAGGAUGUAGUAUCCAGCACUGGCUCUUCUUGUGUCCAUGCUUCUUGCAGUGAUCACAAUUGCCAUUGAGCUUCCUAUCUUCAUACUUGCCGUGUGCUGCUCUGUUGGCUUGUGGUAUCUCCUCAUGAUCAGUUUGCGCAGCAUUGGCUAGGGACAAGUCUCCUUUACCACCAAACAAGCCAAUGGAGCCUUGCUCCUUUUGUAUCUGAGCACACGCAUCCUCCAAGUCAGGAAGCUUAUCAGCCCUCAACAUAUGCUGAAUCAACCCACUGUAGCUUGGAUUCAAUGUCAGCAACAACCCAAAGACCUUGUCUUGCUCUCUUCUUUCAUUCAGCAGCUCCGGAUCAGUUGUGCUCGGCCUCAGCAUCUCCAGCUCUGACCAGAGUGUCCGGAACCUCCCCAAAUGCUUAGUAAACUCCAUGUCCUCCUGAGUUAGAUCAUUCAAAGCUUUCUUCACUUCAAAGACCCGGCUGAGGUUAGAGGUGUUUCCAUACACCUUCUUCAACGUUUCCCACAGCUCCUUGGCUGUCUCACAGUAGCUGUAAGCAUCAAGAAUGGCUGGCUCCAAUGAGCUAUGAAGAGCAGACAUCACCAUCAUGUCCUCUUGUUGCCACUUCUCAGCUUCAGCUUCCGAGACACUCUCCGUGUCUCCUUCUUGAGUAAUGAGUUUUGGAGCCUCACCAGAUGUGAUGUGCUUCCAUAAACCCUUACUUCCCACAGCAGUCUUCACCAUCCUAGACCAUACUAGGUAGUUACUUCCCUUGAAAGUCACAGCAACCUUCAUCUUGGAACCACUCUCCAUCUUAAGCGGCUUCACUUCAAUAACUUGUAACAGACUUGAUCUUGAGACUCAGAACUACACCACCAGCUCAAACCCUUCCGUGCCUUGUCUUUACUCUUCAAGGAACCCUCAAACAGCUAGAUAAGACUCCCGGAAUGAAAAUGUAGCUCUCGGGAUGCAGCUUCUUCCAAGAACACUCACACCACUCUCACUUGAUCUCUCAAAGUUUCAAGAUUGAAUCUUCAAGAGAAAAACGCCAAGAACUCAGAUUGAAAUCAACCUGGCUCUGAUACCAUAUACUCAUUGAUCUGUACUCUGCUUCUGCACUUGAGCAAGACACCACCUUCUGCUUCUUGCUCUUCCAAGUGACCAGAUUCCCUCCAAUGAAUGUACAAUAGCCGGUGGUUAACCUUCUGUCUACUCUGUCCCCAGCCCAAUCUGCAUCACAGUAUCCUAUCACCUCAGUGUUCUUGUUGCAAGCCAUCCAUACACCCUGACCUGGCGCCUCUCACAAGUAUCUUAGGAUCCUCUCCACCAUGUUCCAGUGAUGAACCUUGGGAGUUUGCAUGUGCUGGCUUACUUGAUUAACUGGAAAGCACACAUCUGGCCGAGUGAUGGUUAGAUAGAUCAGCUUCCCAACCAUCCUUCUAUACUGCUUGACAUCUUCAAAUGGAGUAUCUUCAUACUCCCCCUCUCGCAAUACCUUGUAACCUUCUUCAAGUGGUGUCUUGGCUUGUCUUCCUCCAAGAUCUCCUGCCUCCUUUAAGAUGUCCAGGGUAUACUUUCUUUGGGACAUGAACAAUCCUUCCUUUGAUCUGCACAUCUCAAUGCCGAGGAAGUACUUCAGUUCUCCUAGGUCUUUGAUAUCAAAUGCGGCUUUAAGAAAGGUCUUGGUUGAACUGAUCCCCUCCUUGUCACAACCAGUGAUGAUGAUAUCAUCCACAUAGACUAGAAUCACAACAAUCCCUUGCUUGCUGGUGAGAGUGAAGAGUGUGUGAUCCGCUUGAGACUUCACAAAGCCUCUCCCAUUCAGUGUAGUGCUCAGCUUGUGAUACCAAGCUCUUGGUGAUUGCUUCAAACCAUAUAUGGCUUUUCUGAGUCUGAGUACAUUCCCUGGUUUCACCAUCUUUUCCAUUCCCGGCGGUGGUCUCAUAUAUACCUCAUCUUCUAGUUCACCUUGCAAGAAGGCAUUCUUCACAUCCAUUUGCCAAAGAUCCCACUCUUGAUUUACUGCCAAUGAGAGGAUGAUCCGGAUUGUGUGAAGCUUGGUCACUGGUGCAAAGGUGUCUAGAUAGUCUUCUCCAUAAACUUGUGUGUAUCCUCUUGCUACCAAUCUGGUCUUCUUUCUUUCUGGCUUCCCAUUUGCAAGAUACUUGAUGGUGUGUAUGAGUCUGCUGGUCACGGCCUUCUUCCCUUUUGGAAGCUCUGUCUCAUACCAGGUGUUGUUCCUCUCCAUGGCUCCCAUUUCAUCAUUCACUGAUUCCCUCCAUUCAUCAUCUUCCAUAGCUUCUGCAUAUGUUCUUGGUAUCCAUUCCUGAUCCAAUGAACCCACAAAGGCUUGAUGUUCUUCUGAAUAGUGAGCUAGGGAGCACACGCCACUGGGUGGGUGAGCUACUGCCUCUGCAUUGAAGUAGACUCUGGUGUUGUUCCAGUUUGAAGCCGGCUUCUUGAUCCUAGUACUUCUCCUAAGUACUGGCUGAUCAUUUUCAUUCUGAGUGCCUUCUCCACCUUCCAAGUUCUGAUUCUGAUCCUCCACUUGGUCAUGGUGCUCUUCUUGAUCAUGAACUUCCUCAGAUACAGGUGGUACACCCUGAUUUCCCCCCUCAGGAUCAAGGGGAGCAGCUUCUUGGAUCUCAACUUCAUCUGUAGUUGUCUCGGUCUGCUCUUCAGAUCGGCUUGAUCCUCCCACAUUAUCUGAUCCUGCUUGUCCCGGCUCUUCCAUAGGUAAGCUGACCCCAAGUCUCCUCAUGACUUAUCUGAGACCCCAAGUCUCCUCAUGACUUGUCUGAGAUUGGCUGCUCUAUCUGAUGCGGAUUGAGACAAGUUCUCCAACUCAUCCCAAUCCUUGUUGUUGUAGUACCCUCUGGUUUCUACAAACUUCACAUCUCUAGAUACCAAGACUCUCCUAGUCUCUGGUUCAUAGCACUUAUAGCCCUUCUGGUUUGGUGAAUACCCAAUGAACAUAGCUCUUGUGCUCUUAGCCUCCAGUUUGUUCCUUAGUUCUCCUGGUUUCAAAACAAAACAAAGGCACCCAAACACACGCAUAUGAUCAAUAGAUGGUUUAGCUUUGUUCAAUACCUCAAAUGGAAAGUGAUCUUGUAGAACUCUGGUAGGAAUUCGGUUGAUCAGGUAGCAUGCAGUUAGGACCGCAUCUCCCCAAAAACUCUUUGGGACACUAGUAUGGAACAUCAUGCUCCUAGUGACCUCCAUGAGAUGCCUGUUCUUCCUCUCGGCCACACCAUUUUGUUGUGGAGUGUAUGGACAGCUGGUUUGAUGGAUCACACCCCGUUUGGCUAGAUGAGCUUUGAAUGCAUUGCUGGUGUAAUCUCCUCCAUUAUCUGAUCUCAAAAUCUUAACUUUGGCAUUAUAAUGGUUAGAGACAUAUGUUUCAAAGUUUAUAAAUGCAUCUAAGACCCUAUCCUUUGAUUGUAAGAGAGUGAUCCAUGUGUACUUGGAUUUCUCAUCAAUAAAGGUCACAAAAUACUUGUGAUGUUCUCUAGAAAGACAUGGAGCUGUCCAUACAUCCGAGUGGAUUAAAUCAAAGCAAUGUUCAUAGAUUGUACUAGACUUGGGAAAUACAGUUUUGCAAUGUUUUCCUAAGAUACAAGCUUCACAAUCUUGUUGGAAUGAAAUACUAGGUAACAUGAUGUUCAAGGCAUGAGAAUGAGGAUGUCCUAAUCUAGCAUGCCACAUUACAUCUUUAGGGAAAUUAAAACUUGAAUUGAAAGCAACAGAUAGAUCGGAUGCAAGCUUAGUGUCUUCUAGCAAGUACAGGUUUCCCUUGCUCACACCUUUGCCAAGCAACCUACAUGAGUCAAUAUCCUGAAAGUAGACAUCAUCAGGCGUAAAUAUAACAUUGCAAUUCAAGUCAUUGGUCACCCUUUUCACAGAUAAUAGAUUAGAAGUGAAACUAGGCAUGUAGAAGGCUUUGGAUUCUUUCUCAAAUAAUUUCAGUUCCCCUAUGCCUUUAAUUGGAACCUUGUUACCAUCAGCUAUCAUAACAUUUCCUACUGCAGGAGUGAUAUUUUUAAUCAAGUUUAAAUCACUAAUCAUAUGAUGAGAGGCUCCUGAGUCUAUGACUAAGGGUUUAACUCUAUCAGAUUCAUGAGCAACUUGAAAAGCCGUGAAUAAACUCCUAGGCAAUUGAUAUGAUGCACUAAGAGAGGUACCAAGAGUUUUACCAGACUCCUUGAGAGCUUUGAUGAGUGCCCCAAUGUCAGAUUUCUUGAUGGACUCAUCCUGGUUUCCCUUACCCUGAUGAGUGCGGUAGGCUGUGGAAGCUUCUCCUACAUCACCUGAGUAGUUUGCUCGACCAUCAGUCUUGAACUUAGCUGGUUUGAGGUGUGGGUGAAGUAUCCAGCACUUGUCCUUGCCGUGACCCUUCCUCUUGCAAUGAUCACACACCCACACUUUCUUUUCCUCCGGCUUGUAGUACCCUUUGUUGGCUACUCCGGCAGGUUUGCUCUCGGCUCCUUCAGCUUGAUUGGCCAUCACCAGCUCUCCUUUUCUCUUAAAGAGACCCACUGAUCCAUGCUCCUUCUGAAUCUCAGCACACACUUCAUCUAGAGAUGGGAGCUCCUUGUUCCUCAGUAUGUGCCUAAUAAGGUCAUCAUACCCUGGGUUGAGAGUGAGCAGCAAGGCAAAGACCUUAUCCUGCUCCCUUCUUUCAUGUAGAACAUCCGGACAACUGUGGCAGGUCUGAGCAUCUCUAGCUCAGCCCAUAGGGACCGGAACUUCCCAAAAUGAGCAUCAAAGUCUGUGUCCUCUUGACUAAGAGAGUUGAUUGCUCCUUUUACUUCAUACACCUUGCUGAUAUUGGAUUUGUUGGCAUACACCUUCUUGAGAGUGUCCCACAGCUCCUUAGAAGUUUCACAAAAUGCAUAAGCCUCUUGGAGAGAAGGGGCGAGGCUAUUCUGGAUGAUAGACAACACCAUGAGGUCCUCCUGACCUUUCUUCUUAUCCCCAGCAUCUGCAACCACCACUUCUUUGCCAUCCUCUCCUAGGACGGUGUUCUUGGUGGGGCGGCCUUCUUCAACAAUCUCCCAAAGACCUCUGCCUCCGAGAGCUGUUUUGGCAAGUCUUGCCCAUGUCAGGUAGUUAGGACCCUUGAGAGUAACUGGUAUCAUCACCAUCUUUGGGUUCUCGGAGGUAUCCAUCAAGAGAAAGAGAGAAAGAGAAACAAAAGUUUUGGAUGAACUUUGCUAUUUUUGGCAAAUUCUGGAAAUGAGAUUGAAGAAUACCUCAAGAACAGGAUGAACUUUGCCAAAAAUAGAAAUAAAACACAGAGAGUUCGCGGAAGAAAAAGAGAUUUAGGUCUCAAGAGCAAAGCAGCUCUGAUACCAUGUGAGUUUUAGAAGAUUAAGGAGAGAUUAAGAGAGAAGAGUGAGAGAUGGAGAGAGUUUCCGUGAGAGUGUGACAAAGAGAAUAGAAGGAGAAUUAGUUUCCCUUACUUAAUUUGUUACAUAUGACAGGAUAUUUAAAGGCAUACAAGAAUGAAUAAACAAUGAGAAGAUAGUACAAGGAAAAGAAUAAACAAAGAGGAAGCAGAUCAGCGGAUGGCUCGUCCAACAAGAGGGAUAGUGACAGCUCCCAAAGGUCAGCUCCCUCUCUCUUCUCUUAGGCACACCCGUGACUCCUCCACUCACUUCUCCUCAACGGAUACAUGUCGACAUUCCCACUCACUAGGAGAUCUUUUAAUCACCUGACCGAGUUGGUUAACUCAUGACUUGCUUCCUUUCCUUGCAAGUCACUCUUAGGUUGUACGGACAGCCUUGUUCUCCAAGUUCCUAUCUUCUUGCUUUAUUCUUCAUGUCAACAAAGGCAUCUUGAAGCACCUGGAGAUUGAUCAAGCCACUCCAAUGACAAUGCAUUGUGACAAUCAAGCUGCUAAUCACAUUGCAUCCAACUCGGUGUUCCAUGAGAGAACCAAGCACAUUGAGGUUGAUUGCCACAAAGUAAGACAGAUGAUUGUGCUAGGAGUGAUCUUGCCGUGCUAUACUAGAAGUGAAGAUCAGUUGGCUGAUGUGUUCACCAAGGCUGCGAGACAAAAGACUAUGGAGUCCAUUCACAUCAGAUUGGGACUCAUAGAUCUUGGGAAGAGAAGAAGCUGAUCCCCUUAGCUGUGAGAUCUUUACUCUUUUUUCGUCAUUAAGGUUUUGUCCCAAUGGGUUUUCCUUAGUGAGGUUUUUUAAUGAGGAAGAUCUCAUGGCUGUCCAAGCUUAGACUUUCACAAAGCUAAGCUUGAGGGGGAGUGUUGAGAUGAGGAGUAGUUAUGGAGUGUUGAAGUUACUUGGGUGGAGAAAGUUACCACAGUAAAUAUUAGUUACUGUGGUAAAAAGGGUUAAAGGAAGUUACCUUAGUAAAAGGAGUUACUUGAGAGUGAAAUGGGUAAAGAGAAACUUACCAGGAAGAGAGGAGUGUGCGCUGAGGUUAGGAUAGGGUUGUGGAUAAGGUGGAGAGCCUUGACAGGCUGUGACAGGCUGGAAAGGCAAAGCAUCUUAGUCCAAGAUGCCUCACACACGAUCACACUCUCAUUGGCUAAUUUUGAAAUGAGGAGCCUCUUCCCUUGACUCCACAUGCUUAGAAUAGUGAUCAAAUGGAAACCCUUGUAUCUGAUCUCACUAUAUAUAUUGUAACCUCAUCAUUAAUAAGAUUAAGCAAGUUAUGAGUCUCUCUUAGUCUCUCUCAAAGUUUUCUCUCUAGACUCUUAAUCUCACUUUAUACUUUAAUCUUCUCUAAACUUAUUCUAAUCUUCUCUAAACACUCAGAUUACUCUUAACAUCACUAAAAGUGAUAGUAACUACCUGUUGUGGUCAAGACUGGUGAAGACAGCCAUUGGGAGGCUAGGGCUUUGGAGUCACAUCACGGAUGAUGCAACCAAGCCAGUGGCUAAAGACGGAGAAUGAGGUGAAGGUGUUGGAGACAAGUUGCUGCUGCCGAGAAGAAGUGGAUUCAAGAAGACUUGAUGGUGCUUUCAGUGCUACAAGGGUCCCUUGAAGAGCAUCUCUUGGAGGCCUACAGCUACUGCGAGACUCCAAAACACCUGUGGGAGGUACUCCAAAAGACUUUUGGGAAUGUUACCAAUCUGAACCGUGUGUAUGAGAUCAAGAAAGCCAUCAACACACUGGUACAAGAUGGAGAGGAGUUCACCAAGCAUUUGGGCAAGUAUAGAUCCUUGUGGUCUGAGCUUGAAUCGUUGAGGCCAAGCACCACUGAUCAAGAGCUACUCAUGGAGAGGCGGGAGCAGGAUCAGGUGUUUGGAUUGCUGUUGACACUGGAUCCUCCAUUCAAUGAUGUGAUCAUGCACAUGUUGAGGAUGCCGAGUCUCCCAUCUAUGGAGGAAGUGUGUGCGCAGAUUCAGAAAGAAGAGGGGUCACUUGGUUUGUUUGGAGGGAAAGGAGAUAUGGCUCUGUCCAACAAGGCUGAAGCAAUCCAAGCAAACAAAGCCCCUUACCGUGGAGAGGAAAGGAAGUUCAGUGGAAACUGUGACCAUUGCAAGAAGCCGGGAGACAAGAGGAUUCAGUGCUGGAUCCUACACCCCCAUCUGAAGCCGGCCAAGUUCAACAAGGAGAGAGAGGGAAGAGCUCACCUCUCUGCAGAGACAAGUGAAGCCGGCGCAUCAGGAGCUGGUUCAUCUGGUCUUGCAGGUGAAAGUGAAGGAAGAGCCUUAACCUCUCACCAACAAGGAGCCGUGAAGAACAUGGAUCAUGAGGUGAUCAAGAAGUCAGACAUUGAUGCCUUGAUCAAAGCCCUUAAAGAGUCUGGUAACACCCUCGGAAACACCCUUGGUUAUUCAUAUACUGCGUGUUGCCUAGAACUUGUGAUAGCUUGCUAGGAAACUUUGAUAGGAUGAGAACUGAACCGGAUAGAUAUAAAACCUUUGCUGCUGAUAGGAUAUCUAGAAAUGAAUCCACAUUGCUUGAUCUCAUUGAUAAAUUGAAACUGAUAAAAGAACCACCUAGGAAUCAUAUUGCUCAAGGAAUAAAACCAUUGAUUAUUGAUUCAGGUGCUUCACAUCAUAUGAUAAGUGAUGAUAGUCUUAUAAAGAAUAUAGAACCGGCUCAUGGACAUGUAAUGAUUGCAAAUGGUGAUAGAAUUCCUAUUAGAGGUGUAGGUGACUUGAAACUGUUUAAUAAGGAUUCUAAAGCUUUAUACAUGCCUGAGUUUACUUCUAAUCUAUUAUCUGUUAAGAGAUGCACCAAUGAUCUUCAAUGCAAUGUUAUUUUCAGUCCUAAUGAUGUGAAAUUUCAGGAUAUUGAAAGCAGUAAGUUGAUUGGGCAAGGAGUAACCAAAGGAGACCUUUAUUUACAUGAAGACCUUUCUUUCAUUUCUAGUUCUAGUUGCUUGUUGAGUUCCGUUUUAAGUAGAGGUGCAUUGUGGCAUUCUAGGCUAGGACAUCCACAUGUUAGAGCCUUAAGCUUAAUGUUACCAGGUGUCAUGUUUAAAAAUAAUGAGUGUGAAGCAUGUAUUUUGGGAAAACAUUGUAAGACUGUGUUCAAGAGAUCUACUACUAUCUAUGAUAAAUGCUUUGAUCUUGUUCAUUCUGAUGUAUGGACUGCUCCAUCUUUAUCUAGAGACAAUUACAAAUACUUUGUCACAUUCAUAGAUGAGAAAUCCAAAUACACCUGGAUACCACUAAUUAAAACAAAGGAUAGGGUUCUUGAUGCAUUUAGAAACUUUCAAUCAUAUGUUUCUAACCAGUAUAAUGCCAAUAUUAAGAUUUUCAGGUCUGAUAAUGGUGGAGAGUAUAAUGGCCAUGCAUUCAGGAACCAUCUAGCUCAACAUGGGAUACUUCAUCAAACGAGUUGUCCUUACACACCUCAACAAAAUGGAGUGGCUGAGAGGAAGAACAGACAUCUUAUGGAAGUGGCUAGAUCAAUGAUGUUCCAGAUGAGAGUGCCAAAGAGAUUCUGGAGUGAUGCUGUGAUCACGGCUUGCUACCUAAUCAAUAGGAUACCAACCAAGAUUCUGGAAGAUAAAGCCCCUUAUGAAGUUCUCAACAACAGCAAACCUGAUGUGAUCAUGGACCAACUAGCUAAUGAAGAUGAUGAGGAUCUAGAUAAGCCGGCUGAUGAAGAUGUUCUAGUCUUAUCUAAAGGACCUCUAACUCGAUCAAGAUCAAGGAAGCUCACGCAAGCUAUUGGAGGAUUGGUUAAGAUGUCAUGGAAGCAAGAGGAAUGUCUUGGUAAAAGCUUAAUCAGCCAAGACACACUUAUCACCAUUCAAGCUACUUCACCAUCAAGCUGAUCAUCAACUAAGCAAGCAAUCUAUGCGUGCUCUUUUUCCCUAUCUUUGAUUUUGUCCCAUUGGGUUUUCCAAAGAUAGGUUUUUAACGAGGCCAUAGAUUUGCUUCUCAAAUCUCUUAGUUGAUGAUCUCGAUCCAACCUUAUCCCGGAUCAACCUUAUGUUAUAUUAUGUCUUUCAUGUUAUGCUUUUGUUUUCAAACUUGUCUUUUGUUUCUAUUUCCAAGAGAGCCGUGUGCCUUUACUCUCUUGAUAGUUUUCGAGAAGCUUGGAGUCUGUUCCAACUUCUCUUAUAUAAGAGUACUUUGAAACCCUUAUGAAGAAUCAAUUAUUUUUGCUCAUAAACCUUUCUCUUGUUCUCUCUACUACUUGUUUCACGAGUUGUUGAGUGUUCUUGUUGGUGUGUAAUAUCCAACAGCCCAAGAGUGUCUAUCUCGGUAUGUUAUAUCCGAUCUAGUCACUUAGGAGUAUCAGGAAGCCUUUCCGCAGCCUCUUGUGUCACCAAUCGAUUCACAACCUUGUAGAGCUUGAGUCUUUGAUUCGUUCUAGCAAGGAUCUAUCCCAUACUAUCCAGAGAAGCAAUCUAGGGACGUAUUAUGUGGUAUCAGAGCAUCUCUGGUUAGGGAAGUUCUCGUUUCUCUUUUGUUUCGAUUUAAUCUGUUCAUCUUCUUGAUCAGUUUUAGAUCGAUCUGUUUUGUUUCAACUGAUCUGUUCUUUGAUUCGCAAUAUCCAUUGAUUGAUCUGUAAUCUGUGGUUGUUUGAUUGUGUGAUCUAAUCGUUCAGUGUCGAUAUAAUUGUUAAGAGUUUUGAAUUGAUAGAUCUAGGUUUCGCGCUUUUAGAUCCGAUUGUUAUCGAUUCAUAUUCUCGUUUUGAUCUUUUGUUUGAAUCUAAUUGAUCGUGUGAUCUGUUUAAAUCACCAAUAACAAUUAGAUAUACUUGUGUGUCGUCGAAAUCUGAUCAAAGAACCUACCCUGAUCUCGUUUCUAUUGUGAUUUACUUGUCUUUCACGUUGUCGAUUUGAAUCCUCUUUUGCUUGUUAAUCAAGUUUUCUUUACCGCCUGUUUAUUUUCGGUUCAAAAUCUCUUGAUCAUCUACUGAUUACGAUCAGUUUAUUGGAAUUAUUUACUGGCUGAGUGUUGUUGUUGAUUCUAGGUACCAAUGGGAAAAGAAUCAGAAGAAGAAGCCGAGCUAGUAAGGAAGAACAAGAUGCUGAGGGAGCAAAUGACCGAGCAAAUGAAUCAGACUAUGAUCUCUACAAUGGCUGAUAUGCUCAAGGCUUGCAUGAAGGAAUUACGUGAGGAGAUGAGACAAGAGUUGAGGCAAGCUACUGGCCAGGGACAUAGCAAUUGAAUCUAGAAGGAACCGGCCUACUCCAAUACGGCAAGAGCAUGCGGGUCCACAAGAGACAGACAACUACUACUCGCGCCAUAGAACUGAGCACAACCAAACUGAGCGCAGUAGUUCUUCUUCUGAACUGAGCAGAGGAAGAUCGAGGCGUGAACAUGAUGGAAGGUGGUCACGCAAAGACAAACUUUCUGGACUUAAGCUUAAGAUUCCAUCCUUCCAUGGCAAGGUUGAUCCAGAUGCCUAUUUGGAAUGGGAAAAGAAGAUCGAGCUUGUCUUCAAUUGCCAACACUACUCCAAUGCCCAAAAGAUCAAGAUUGCAGCAACUGAAUUUUAUGAUUAUGCAUUGAGUUGGUGGGAUCAGCUUGUAACUACUAGACGGCUUAACCAAGAGAAUCCGGUUGAUUCAUGGCACGAGAUGAAGUCACUCAUGCGCAAACGGUUUGUUCCAAGCCAUUAUCACCGCGAUCUACAUCAAAAGCUGCGAAGACUUACCCAAGGAACACGAACUGUUGAAGAAUACUAUCAAGACAUGGAGUUGCUGAUGUUAAGAGCUAGUAUCUUGGAGGAUAGAGAAGCUACUAUGGCAAGGUUUCUUGGAGGACUUAACCGUGAGAUACAAGACAAUGUGGAGAUGCAACACUAUGUGGAAAUAGAAGAGAUGUUGCAUAAUGCUAUUCUAGUGGAGCAGCAGCUCAAAAGGAAGGGUAACUCACGCAGCUAUGGAUCUUCUAAGUUCCACCACUCUAAGUAGGAGAAAACAUCUCAUCUGAAGGAUAUCAAGCCUCAGCAGAAAGAAGAGACUAAGCCGAGCAGCACAUACAGCAAAGACAAAGGCAAAGCUGAAAUUACUAGUUCAAGAGCUAGAGAUGUUAAGUGCUUCAAAUGUCAAGGGCGUGGGCAUUAUGCUAAUGAGUGCACCAACAAAAAGGUUAUGAUUCUUCUUGAGAAUGGAGAGUAUGAAUCAGAGGAAGAGAAGUUUGGGUCUAAUCAUGAGGAAUCUGAAGAAGAAAGUGAAGUAGAACCCGUGAAAGGAAGGUUGUUGAUGACAAGAAGGAUCCUGAACUUGCAAGCUAAGAAUGGAGAGCUUGAGCAGCGAGAGAAUCUAUUUUACACAAGGUGUAUGGUUCAGGGAAAGGUGUGCAGUCUCAUUAUUGAUGGAGGAAGUUGUGUCAAUGUAGCUAGUGAGACAAUGGUGAAGAAAUUGGGUUUGAAAAUUCAGAAACACCCAAGACCCUACAGAUUGCAGUGGCUCAAUGAGGAGGGCGAGAUGAGAGUUUCUACUCAAGUACUGGUUCCUAUAGCCAUUGGUAGAUAUGAAGAUGAAGUCUUGUGUGAUGUGUUGCCAAUGGAAGCCAGUCAUAUACUUCUUGGAAGACCCUGGCAGUAUGAUAGACGUGUGAAUCAUGAUGGCUUCACCAACAAGCACUCAUUUGAAUUCAAUGGAAAGAAGACUGUGCUGGUGCCUUUAUCUCCUAAAGAGGUUCAUGAAGAUCAACUCCAGCUUCAGAAAAAGAAAGAGAAAGAGAUUGAUCUCAAACAUGAUCAUAACAAGCAUCACAGCCUCUAUGCCAAACAGGGAGAUAUCAAAAGAAUUCUUUACUCUCAAAAUUCUAUUAUCUUGCUUAUGUUUAAGGAGACUCUACUAACAGUUACUGAUCACACACCGGAUCAUCCGAGUGAACUAGUUUCUCUUUUACAGGAGUAUGCAGAUGUGUUUCCAGAAGAUAGCCCCAUUGGAUUGCCUCCAGUGCGUGGGAUUGAGCACCAAAUUGAUUUUGUACCUGGUUCUACACUGCCCAACCGUCCAGCAUACAGGACCAAUCCAGUUGAAACUAAAGAAUUGCAAAGACAAGUAGAGGAGCUGAUGGAGAAGGGUCAUAUCCGAGAGAGCUUGAGUCCUUGUGCAGUUCCAGUGCUCUUUGUGCCUAAGAAAGAUGGGAGCUGGCGCAUGUGUGUUGAUUGUAGAGCAAUCAACAACAUAACAGUGAAGUAUCGCCACCCUAUUCCUAGAUUAGAUGAUAUGCUUGAUGAGUUGCAUGGUUCUUGCAUAUUUUCUAAGAUAGAUUUGAAAAGUGGAUAUCAUCAGAUUAGGAUGAAAGAAGGAGAUGAGUGGAAAACUGCUUUUAAAACUAAACAUGGCUUGUAUGAAUGGUUAGUUAUGCCAUUUGGAUUAACCAAUGCGCCUAGUACAUUCAUGAGACUGAUUAAUCAUAUUCUUAGGUCUUUCAUAGGCAUCUUUGUUGUUGUGUACUUUGAUGAUAUAUUAGUUUACAGCAAAUGCUUAGAAGAUCAUAUAGAACAUCUUAGGGCUGUUUUGGAUGUUUUGAGAAAAGAAAAGCUUUAUGCCAAUCUAAAGAAGUGCACUUUUUGCACAGAUAACUUGGUCUUUCUAGGUUUUGUUGUAAGUGCAGAUGGAGUAAAGGUGGAUCAGGAAAAGAUCAAAGCAAUAAAAGAGUGGCCGAGUCCAACUACAGUGGGAGAAGUAAGGAGUUUUCAUGGACUGGCAGGUUUCUAUAGGCGCUUUGUGAAGGAUUUCAGCACUCUAGCAGCUCCCCUUAUGAGAUUAAGAGAUCCUUAGAGUAAUCAGAAUAAAGAGAGUGUUUAAGAAGUGAUUAAGAGAAGUUUGUGAAAGAUUAAGAGACUAGAUAGAGCCGUUUAGAGUCUAAGAGAGAACCAUAGUGUCUAAGAGAUUAGAGAGACUCAAACUGCUUAAUGUUAUUAAUGAGUGAGGUUACAUAUUUAUAAGAGAGCUACAAGGGUUUCCAAGACUCGAAAUGGGCACUAUUGAAGCAUGUGGAGUCAAAGGUUGCUUUAGGGAUGGACGGAUGAGGGGACUCGCAUGCUUCCUCUCUUUACAGCCUGUCACAGCCUGGCAUGCUCUUCCCUUAUCCUCUCAACGUUCUGAUCCUUAUCCUCUUGAGUAACUCUUCCGCGUUUACCAUUUCACUUGGGCAAUGCACGGUAAGUUUUGGUCGAGUCUUGGAUGGUACGGACUGUACGGCUUGUACGGCCUUGUACGGACGUCCGUACCAUGCUCUCUCUAAACUCCACUCUGCCUCAUCUCUUCAUCUCCACAACCCCUCUUCUCUUCUUACUUAUAUGCUUAACUCAACUCAACACCCCUGACUGAGAUAAUCAAGAAGGAUGUAGGAUUCAAGUGGGGAGAAGUUCAAGAAGCCGCAUUCCAACUCCUUAAAGAGAAGCUUACUCAAUCUCCUCUUCUCAUACUUCCUGAUUUUUCUAAAACAUUUGAAAUAGAAUGUGAUGCCUCAGGAAUUGGAAUUGGUGAUGUGUUGAUGGAGGAUAAAAGACCUAUUGCUUAUUUCAGUGAGAAACUCAGUGGAGCUACUCUCAACUAUGCCACUUAUGACAAAGAACUCUACGCCUUGGUGAGAGCUCUACAGACUUGGCAGCAUUAUCUCUGGCCAAAGGAGUUUGUCAUUCACACCGACCAUGAAUCUCUCAAGUAUCUCAAAGGACAAAGUAAGCUCAGCAAGAGACAUGCCAGAUGGGUAGAAUUCAUUGAAACCUUCCCUUAUGUGAUCAAAUACAAACAAGGUAAGGAAAAUAUAGUUGCUGAUGCACUAUCCAGAAGGUAUGUCCUCUUAAAUACUCUUGGUGCUAAGUUGCUAGGCUUUGAGCAGAUUAAAGAAAUGUAUGAAUCUGAUCCUGACUUUCAAGAAGCUUAUAAAUCAUGUGCUAAGUAUGCUUCUGGACAUUAUUUUAGGCAUGAUGGAUUCUUAUUCUAUGACAAUCGUUUAUGUGUGCCUAAUUGCUCUUUGAGAGAUCUAUUUGUCAGGGAAUCCCAUGGAGGAAGCUUGAUGGGUCAUUUUGGUAUAGCAAAAACCCUUAAAGUUCUGCAGGAUCACUUCUAUUGGCCGCAUAUGAAAAGAGAUGUGGAGAGAAUCUGUGGAAGGUGCACAACUUGCAAGCUUGCAAAGUCUAAAGUUCAACCCCACGGUUUGUAUACUCCUUUGCCUAUUCCUACUCAUCCUUGGAAUGACAUAUCUAUGGAUUUUGUUAUGGGUUUGCCUAGAACUAGGAAUGGAAAGGAUUCUAUCUUUGUGGUUGUUGAUAGAUUCUCUAAAAUGGCACAUUUCAUAGCUUGCAAUAAAACUGAUGAUGCAUUACAUGUAGCUAAUUUGUUCUUUAAAGAAGUUGUACGUUUGCAUGGAAUACCUAGGACUAUAGUUUCAGACAGAGAUACUAAAUUCCUCAGCUACUUUUGGAAAACAUUGUGGUCUAAACUAGGAACUAAGCUAUUGUUUUCUACUACUUGUCAUCCACAAACUGAUGGGCAAACUGAAGUAGUUAAUCGAACCCUAGGGACUCUCCUGCGUGCAUUCAUCAAAAAGAACUUGAAAUCAUGGGAAGAUUACUUGCCUCAUUGUGAAUUUGCAUACAAUCAUGCUAUGCAUUCUGCUUCUAAGUUUUCUCCUUUUGAAAUUGUUUAUGGGUUCAAUCCCAUCUCACCUUUGGAUCUAAUACCUUUGCCUGAGUGUGAAAGAGUUAGUAUGGAUGGGAAAAGGAAAGCUGAGAUGGGUCAGCAGAUUCAUGAGCAAGCUAAGCGCAAUCUUGAAGAGGAAACUAAGCAAUACGCCAAACAAGCUAACAAGGGAAGGCGUGAGAUGAUCUUUGAAGUUGGAGAUCAAGUAUGGGUUCACUUGAGGAAAGAGAGGUUUCCAAAAGAGAGGAAGUCUAAGUUAAUGCCGAGAAUUGAUGGCCCUUUUGAAGUCACCAAGAGGAUCAAUGACAAUGCCUACAAACUUGAUCUGCAAGGUAAGUACGAUAUAAGUGAUAGCUUCAAUGUUACUGACUUAAUUCCUUUUAUUGCAGAUGAGCCAGAUUUGAGGACAGAUCCUUUUCAAGAGGGAGGGGAUGAUAUGAUCAUGGACCAACUAGCUAAUGAAGAUGAUGAGGAUCUAGAUAAGCCGGCUGAUGAAGAUGUUCUAGUCUUAUCUAAAGGACCUCUAACUCGAUCAAGAUCAAGGAAGCUCACGCAAGCUAUUGGAGGAUUGGUUAAGAUGUCAUGGAAGCAAGAGGAAUGUCUUGGUAAAAGCUUAAUCAGCCAAGACACACUUAUCACCAUUCAAGCUACUUCACCAUCAAGCUGAUCAUCAACUAAGCAAGCAAUCUAUGCGUGUUCUUUUUCCCUAUCUUUGGUUUUGUCCCAUUGGGUUUUCCAAAGAUAAGUUUUUAACGAGGCCAUAGAUUUGCUUCUCAAAUCUCUUAGUUGAUGAUCUCGAUCCAACCUUAUCCCGGAUCAACCUUAUGUUAUAUUAUGUCUUUCAUGUUAUGCUUUUGUUUUCAAACUUGUCUUUUGUUUCUAUUUCCAAGAGAGCCGUGUGCCUUUACUCUCUUGAUAGUUUUCGAGAAGCUUGGAGUCUGUUCCAACUUCUCUUAUAUAAGAGUACUUUGAAACCCUUAUGAAGAUUCAAUUAUCUUUGCUCAUAAACAUUUCUCUUGUUCUCUCUACUACUUGUUUCACGAGUUGUUGAGUGUUCUUGUUGGUGUGUAAUAUCCAACAGCCCAAGAGUGUCUAUCUCGGUAUGUUAUAUCCGAUCUAGUCACUUAGGAGUAUCAGGAAGCCUUUCCGCAGCCUCUUGUGUCACCAAUCGAUUCACAACCUUGUAGAGCUUGAGUCUUUGAUUCGUUCUAGCAAGGAUCUAUCCCAUACUAUCCAGAGAAGCAAUCUAGGGACGUAUUAAAACCAGUCCUAGAUCACCUAAGAGUGUUUGGGUGUGUAAGCUAUGUUCUUGUCCCGGGAGAGAUGAGUAACAAGCUGGAAGCAAAGAGUAUCAAAGCUAUGAUGAUAGGAUACUCAACUACACAGAAGGGAUACAAGUGCUUUGUUCCUGAGACAAGGAGAGUCCUUGUAUCUAGAGAUGUCAAGUUCUUUGAAGAGAAGAGCUACUAUGAAGAAAAAGAUUGGAAAGAGCUGGAGGAUCUUUCACAACCUUCAGAUAGAGCUACAAGCUUGAGACAGAUACUAGAAGAUCUUGGAAUUGGAAUGUCCCAGGAGUCGACAGAGGAUCAGUCAUCUGAAGGACAAGAAGCUGAAGAACCAUCUCACCUUGAUCAUGAGGGAGGGAAUGGAAUUGAGCCGGAUGAGAACCAAGAUUUUGCGGAUCAUCCUGAUCAAGGUGGAGCUGAACCAAGUAAUGAAGAGCUCAAUGAGUUACCAGAACAAGGAGGAGUGGAAGCAACUGAAGUAGAAGCACCAGAGCAAGCACCAGCUGAGGUACCAUUAAGGAGAAGCACACGGCUGAAGACAGAUGCUUCCAACUGGGUAAACACGAGAGUGUACUACAAUGCCCAGGCUGUUGAGCAUCCUUCUCAAGCUGUGUGUUCAUUUGCUUGUUAUCCAAAGGAGCAUUGGACAUUCAUGAUGAGCCUAGAUGAAAGUAGUGUACCAAGAUCAUAUGAAGAAGCAAUGCUACAUCAAGAUUGGAAGGAAUCUGUUGGAGAUGAAGCAAAUGCCAUGAUAAAGAAUGACACUUGGUUUGAAAGUGAGUUGCCAAAAGGAAAGAAGGCAGUAACCAGCAAGUGGAUAUUCACCAUUAAGUAUCUACCUGAUGGAACCAUUGACAGAAAGAAGACAAGACUGGUGGCUAGAGGAUACACUCAAACAUAUGGGGAAAACUACAUUGAUACCUUUGCCCCUGUUGCCAAGCUACAUACAAUAAGAAUUGUAUUGUCUCUUGCUGUGAACCUUGAGUGGGAGCUUUGGCAGAUGGAUGUGAAGAAUGCCUUUCUUCAAGGAGAGCUAGAGGAUGAAGUGUAUAUGCAUCCACCACCAGGCCUAGAGCAUCUUGUGAAACCUGGAAACGUAUUGAGACUCAAGAAGGCUAUCUAUGGAUUAAAAAAAUCUCCUAGAGCAUGGUACAACAAGUUGAGUACUACCUUAAAUGGACGUGGGUUCAAGAAGUCUGAACUGGAUCACACUCUCUUCACUCUCACUACACCCUCAGGUAUCAUUUGUCUACUUGUAUAUGUUGAUGACAUUAUCAUAACAGGUAGUGAUAAAGCUGGUAUAAAAGCCACAAAGGAGUUUUUGAAAUCUGUGUUUGAAAUCAAAGACUUAGGAGAAAUGAAAUACUUCCUUGGAAUUGAGUUGUGUAGAUCUAAGGAAGGAUUGUUCAUUUCCCAAAGGAAGUAUACACUUGAUCUUUUGAAAGAUGCAGGUAUACAAGGAGAUAAGACAGCAAAGAUGCCUCUUGAAGAUGGAUACAAGAUUCCACGUGAGGGGGAGAUUGAAGAUAGCAAGGCCUUUCAUGAUCCAAAGCUAUACAGGAAGCUAGUAGGGAAGCUCAUCUACCUCACAAUCACACGACCAGACAUAUGCUUUGCUGUGAACCAAGUAAGCCAGCAUAUGCAAGUCCCAAAGGAGCAUCACUGGCGCAUGGUGGAGAGACUUCUCUUGUAUCUGAAUGGGACGUCAAGCCUUGGAGUGUGGAUGGGAUGCAACAAGAGCACUGAAGUGGUGGGAUACUGUGAUGCGGAUUGGGCUGGAGAUAGAGCAGACAGGAGAUCAACCACCGGCUAUUGUACAUUCAUUGGAGGCAACUUGGUGACUUGGAAGAGUAAGAAACAGAAGGUGGUGUCUUGUUCAAGCGCUGAAGCUGAGUACAGAGCAAUGCUGAAGCUUACCAAUGAGUUGGUAUGGAUCAAAGGAAUCUUGAAGCACUUGGAGAUAGAGCAGGCAACUCCAAUGACUAUGCAUUGUGAUAAUCAAGCGGCUAUACACAUUGCAACCAACUCAGUCUUCCAUGAGAGAACCAAGCACAUUGAAGUUGAUUGUCACAAGGUGAGGCAGAUGAUUGUAUUGGGAGUAAUCUUGUCGUGCUACACAAGGAGUGAGGAUCAACUUGCGGAUGUGUUUACCAAGGCUGCAAGACAAAAGACUAUGGAGUUCAUUCAUACCAGAUUGGGACUCAUAGAUCUUUCCUCAAGGAGCUGAUCCCCUUUGCCAUGAGGUUUUUACUCUUUUUCCCUCAUCAAGGUUUUGUCCCAAUGGGUUUUCCUUGGUGAGGUUUUUAAUGAGGAAGAUCUCAUGGUUGUUCCAAGCUUAACUAAGUUAUUAAGUUAAGCUUGAGGGGGAGUGUUGAAAUGAGUUGAUCAAUAUGUGAGAAGAUGGCUUAAGGAGUUGGGAAUGAGAUAGUGUGAAGGCAAAGAGAAGGAGAGCUUGGGAGUGAUCAGGCCGUACAAGGCCGUACCGGCCGUACCAUCCGUACGGUCCGGAUCAAUCCACUACUCGACCAAGAAGAGAAGUUACCGCGUGAAAGAAGUAAACGGCCAAAGGGGUUUUACCUUAGAGGAUAUGACCGUUUGGAUGGAUAGAGUGACUGAGCCUUAUCCUCACUGGCUGGAACAGGCUGUAAAGGCAAAAGGAACCUAGUCCGAGAUGCCAAAAGCGUGUGACAGCUCUCAUUGGAUCAGUUUUGAAUUAAAGCAACCUUAUCCUUGACCUCACAUGCUUAGUCUCUCUAAAACCCUUGUAUCUGAUCCUAUAUAUUGUAAACUCUGNNNNNNNNNNNNNNNNNNNNNNNNNNNNNNNNNNNNNNNNNNNNNNNNNNNNNNNNNNNNNNNNNNNNNNNNNNNNNNNNNNNNNNNNNNNNNNNNNNNNNNNNNNNNNNNNNNNNNNNNNNNNNNNNNNNNNNNNNNNNNNNNNNNNNNNNNNNNNNNNNNNNNNNNNNNNNNNNNNNNNNNNNNNNNNNNNNNNNNNNNNNNNNNNNNNNNNNNNNNNNNNNNNNNNNNNNNNNNNNNNNNNNNNNNNNNNNNNNNNNNNNNNNNNNNNNNNNNNNNNNNNNNNNNNNNNNNNNNNNNNNNNNNNNNNNNNNNNNNNNNNNNNNNNNNNNNNNNNNNNNNNNNNNNNNNNNNNNNNNNNNNNNNNNNNNNNNNNNNNNNNNNNNNNNNNNNNNNNNNNNNNNNNNNNNNNNNNNNNNNNNNNNNNNNNNNNNNNNNNNNNNNNNNNNNNNNNNNNNNNNNNNNNNNNNNNNNNNNNNNNNNNNNNNNNNNNNNNNNNNNNNNNNNNNNNNNNNNNNNNNNNNNNNNNNNNNNNNNNNNNNNNNNNNNNNNNNNNNNNNNNNNNNNNNNNNNNNNNNNNNNNNNNNNNNNNNNNNNNNNNNNNNNNNNNNNNNNNNNNNNNNNNNNNNNNNNNNNNNNNNNNNNNNNNNNNNNNNNNNNNNNNNNNNNNNNNNNNNNNNNNNNNNNNNNNNNNNNNNNNNNNNNNNNNNNNNNNNNNNNNNNNNNNNNNNNNNNNNNNNNNNNNNNNNNNNNNNNNNNNNNNNNNNNNNNNNNNNNNNNNNNNNNNNNNNNNNNNNNNNNNNNNNNNNNNNNNNNNNNNNNNNNNNNNNNNNNNNNNNNNNNNNNNNNNNNNNNNNNNNNNNNNNNNNNNNNNNNNNNNNNNNNNNNNNNNNNNNNNNNNNNNNNNNNNNNNNNNNNNNNNNNNNNNNNNNNNNNNNNNNNNNNNNNNNNNNNNNNNNNNNNNNNNNNNNNNNNNNNNNNNNNNNNNNNNNNNNNNNNNNNNNNNNNNNNNNNNNNNNNNNNNNNNNNNNNNNNAAAUCAAGCUUUGUACAUCGCGAUUCAUCCUGGUUUGAUUAGAAUGUCGAAGAAGUUGUCAUAUUCCCAAACAGGGAAACUGGGAUCACCUUAUUUGAAAGUGGGAUAACUUCUUCAUCCUAACUCCUAUGAGAUUUAUUCAACUUCCUGGUGAUUCUCCACUACUUUAUGUUUCCAAAUGAAGGUUCUCACAUCGCGAUUCAUCUUGGUUUGAUUAGAAUGACGAAGAAGUUGUCAUAUUCCCAAACAGGAAAACUGGGAUCACCUUAUUUGAAAGUGGGAUAACUUCUUCAUCCUAACUCCUAUGAGAUUUAUUCAACUUCCUGGUGAUUCUCCACUACUUAAUGUAUCCAAAUGAAGGUACUUACGUCGCGAUUCAUCCUGGUUUAAUUAGAAUGAUUAGAAGUUGUCAUAUUAUUUUGUACCUAAUACACAUAUAGAAAGCCGAAAAGAAAAUAAUUUACAGUUGUAUUAGGUACAAAAUAAUUAUACAGAGUAUAUUUGUAUAAGCAUCCAAGACAUUACCAUCAAGGGACCCACAUGAGACAAGCAUGGGAGUAUAUCUGUAUAAGCAUCCAAGACAUCACACCAUCAAGGGACCCACAUGAGACAAGCAUGGGACCCACCUGGAGACUUUGAAGCAACACGACAAAGGUCUCCAUCAGCCAACCAAGACUCGACACGUAGCAAGCAAAGUGUCGGCACAAUCAGAAGACGACACGUAGCAAGCCGAGUGUCGGCACAAUCAGAAGACGACACGUGGCAACCAAUCAAUACGCAAACUUCGCCUAUAAAAGGAACCCAUGAGGAAGAACGAAGACACGGGCAAUUUCGCCAAGCUCUUUCUCACUCUAAAGAUCGCUCUCCCUUCUCUCUAAAAUUCUGUAAAAUUUUAAGUUCUAUCAGCAACUCUGUAAUAAAAGAUUGUAACAUCAAGAUCAAUAAAAGUAAGUAUUAAUCAUAGUCUUGUCAUCAUAAGUUUGUUUUUAAUCCAGCAAAUAAAUAAAAUCAAAUUAAAUUAAGAACUUUGUAAACAAAUCAACACAAAGAAAAUAAAUUAAAACUGGUAUUGGGAAACUGGGAUCACCUUAUUUGAAAGUGAGAUAACUUCUUCAUCCUAACUCCUAUGAGAUUUAUUCAACUUCCUGGUGAUUCUCCACUACUUAAUGUAUCCAAAUGAAGGUACUUACGUCGCGAUUCAUCCUGGUUUAAUUAGAAUGAUUAGAAGUUGUCAUAUUAUUUUGUACCUAAUACACAUAUAGAAAGCCGAAAAGAAAAUAAUUUACAGAGUAUAUCUGUAUAAGCAUCCAAGACAUCACACCAUCAAGGGACCCACAUGAGACAAGCAUGGGACCCACCUGGAGACUUUGAAGCAACACGACAAAGGUCUCCAUCAGCCAACCAAGACUCGACACGUAGCAAGCAAAGUGUCGGCACAAUCAGAAGACGACACGUAGCAAGCCGAGUGUCGGCACAAUCAGAAGACGACACGUAGCAAGCCGAGUGUCGGCACAAUCAGAAGACGACACGUAGCAAGCCGAGUGUCGGCACAAUCAGAAGACGACACGUGGCAACCAAUCAAUACGCAAACUUCGCCUAUAAAAGGAACCCAUGAGGAAGAACGAAGACACGGGCAAUUUCGCCAAGCUCUUUCUCACUCUAAAGAUCGCUCUCCCUUCUCUCUAAAAUUCUGUAAAAUUUUAAGUUCUAUCAGCAACUCUGUAAUAAAAGAUUGUAACAUCAAGAUCAAUAAAAGUAAGUAUUAAUCAUAGUCUUGUCAUCAUAAGUUUGUUUUUAAUCCAGCAAAUAAAUAAAAUCAAAUUAAAUUAAGAACUUUGUAAACAAAUCAACACAAAGAAAAUAAAUUAAAACUGGUAUCAGAUGCUAAAACGUUGCAAACUGGCUAAAGAAUUUGACCAUCAAGAUAUCUGACUUUAAUCUAUUUUAAACCCGUUAAAACGACCUCACCGUCUAAGUAAAACUCUGUCACUGUAGGUGUUCCAGGCAGCAAGUCCAAAGAAGGCAGUAAGACCGUUGGCAAGCCAGCAGUUGAGUCGAAUUAAACGGUUAGUAAAAUUUUAUGAGUUUAAAAUCGGAUUAAAAUCAUGGCAUCUUCGAUUAGAAAAUUCUUUAAACCAAGAACCGCGUCAACCUCAGCGUCUUAUUCAACUGUAAAUUCUAGAGAAAUAAUGACUAAAAUAACGACCUUUAAUCAAGAAAUUUCAAAGAAUCAAUUACCGCAUAUUAAUCCUGAGAAUAUAUAUCAAAUAGGAACGUUUGAUUUUAAAACGGCUUAUUCAAUAAAAGAACAUGAACAAACUCUGUCUUUACAAAACGAGUUUGAAGAAAUCAAAUUAUUAUCCUCACUAGCUUUAGAAAAAUAUAAACAAAAGGGAUUCAACUACAUUCAUUUCGGAUUAAUUCAAGUAGCUAUAAAACCAUUAUCAAGAACAGGAAUUGAUUCACCUAUCCUUAUGUUAUUAAGAGACAAGACUUUAUUAAAAUUCGAAGAUUCACUCCUUGGAGCAGUCCAAUCAAAUCUAUGCAUUGGAGCUGUAUAUUUUAAUUGCGCUCCUAAUUUUCAAGUUAUUCUACACGACCCAACUAUACUCAACACUCUGACCUUAAAUGUUCAUUUACCUGAAAUUAAAUUUCAAAACGAAAGACAUGGAUACUUAUUACUCUAUAGAGUAUAUUUUAAACAAUCAAUUUCAGAAUUCAACCCAAGAUGUUUACUACAAGAUAAUAAAGGUGAAACAACAAUUUUGGCCGUUCAUAGCAAAGACACUCCAACGGCUACAUACACACCUAAACAACUAAACUGGGAUGAGAUAACUAUACCGGAUCAAUGGAAAAUUGAAAUUACGCUACCACCUAGAAUAAGUCCAUACCACUCAAGAGCUUCCUUUUCUGAAUAUCGCACUGGUCAAUCCAGUACAAACUCAGAAACAGAAAGCGUAAAUCAAAAUGUUAGACAAGAAGAACCAAUUAAAUUCAAAGCUCCAAUAGCCGAGCCUCAUCAAGAUAUGUAUCCAACUUCACCAACUUUAUCAGACUUUAAAUCAAUAAAUGUUAUAACCAAAACAUACAAAAUAAAUAAACAAUACAUAAAAGAAGACUUUUACUCAAAACAAAAUGAAGAAAAAAGGAAAUGGUAUUUUAGUACUUUUCCUAAAGAAGAAACUAUAUUAUACCGAGAAAAUUGGUAUAAUUUUAUGAUAUCCAAAGAAACAGACAUUCCAUUUUUCAAAUGGUUUGAAAGUUAUGGAAACGACAACAAUAUAAAUUACCCAUUCAAAUCAAUUAAUGUAAAUUCAACAUUAAGCCAAGUUUGGGAACAAAGGGAUGGAAAUAAAAUAAGAUCAAUCCAUCCCCCUCUGAAGGAUAUAAAGAUAAAUACUGCAAAUAGACAAGUUAUUGCAACCCCGUUCAAAACCGGAGCUAAUAGAGAUGAUAAAGACCCAAUCCAUAUGCAAGAUAUAAAGUCCAUAUAUCAACAAAAUAAUUAUCAAAGCCAGAUAUUACACACAAUAUCUAGACAAAUAAACGAGAUAGAUAUAAAAAUCAAUAAUAACGAGACUAAUAAACAAGAACAACAUCCCUUUUCAUCCAUAACUCCACCAAUAUUUAAACCAAUAAACAUGCAAGUAAAACUACCAGAUAACCCUAUUUUAACAUCAAUCGCAUCCAGACUAGACAAAUUAGACAGAGGCAAAAAUAUAAACAUUAUAGAUGAGGAAGACAGCGAGUCAACUUCAGCUAUAAUAUCCGAAGACGAACCAAUAAUCAAUCGAAUAAAAAAUAAAUCAACAAAACCAUAUUAUAAGAGACAUACUCCACCGGAUUAAUUAUUUGAAGAACACCAUAAAUAUUCCGCAAAUAUGUAUUCCGGAGACGGGAUAUAUGAAUGGAAUAUUGAUGGAAGGUCAGAAUACGAAAUAAUGAAUUUAUUACAAGAAAUGGGAAUGGCCGCUAUGGCCUAUAAAGCAAAGCGAAAUGAUGAUAAGCAAUCAUGCGUAUUAUUAAUAGUAGGAUUCAACGGAGCAUUAAGAUACUGGUGGGACAACUCACUAGACAAUGUUACCCAAGAAUCGAUUAUCAACCAUACUGAAACAAGAACGGUAGAAAAUACUGAAGGAGAAUUAGAACAAGUGGAAACACAAAACGCAGUAGAAGUAUUAAUUCAUACUAUAACCAUGCACUUUAUAGGAAAUCCGAAAGAAGAACUAGAAAGCAAAAAAAUAAUCUUAACCAAUUUAAGAUGUCCAACAUUAGGAGAUUUUAAAUGGUAUAAAGAUGUAUUUGUAACAAACAUAUUUCAAAGAAAUGAUUGUACUCAAGCCUUUUGGAAAGAAAGAUUUAUAGC
rnacentral:lncRNA from 1 species